ACUAACAUGGCUUCCUCAAACUUUUUAGUGCUGCUUCUUUUUGCUCUCUUUGCUAUCCCUCGGGGUCUUGCCAAUUAUGACAAGCCUCCGGUUUACCAACCACCGGUCUACAAGCCCCCUGUUGAGAAGCCACCUGUGUAUAAGCCACCGGUAGAAAAACCUCCAGUUUACAAACCACCGGUAGAGAAACCACCAGUGUACAAGCCACCAGUUGAGAAGCCCCCCGUCUACAAACCUCCUGUAGAGAAGCCUCCUGUUUACAAGCCACCAGUAGAGAAACCACCAGUGUACAAGCCACCAGUUGAAAAGCCUCCGGUCUACAAACCACCUGUAGAGAAGCCACCUGUUUACAAGCCACCUGUAGAGAAACCACCAGUGUACAAGCCACCAGUUGAGAAGCCUCCGGUCUACAAACCACCUGUAGAGAAGCCACCUGUUUAUAAGCCACCUGUAGAGAAACCACCAGUGUACAAGCCACCAGUUGAGAAGCCCCCGGUCUACAAACCCCCUGUAGAGAAGCCUCCUGUCUACAAGCCACCAGUAGAGAAACCGCCAGUGUACAAGCCACCAGUUGAGAAACCCCCGGUCUACAAACCCCCUGUUGAGAAGCCUCCUAUCUACAAGCCACCAGUAGAGAAACCACCAGUGUACAAGCCACCUGUUGAGAAGCCUCCAGUUUAUAAGCCACCAGUUGAGAAGCCACCUGUGUACAAGCCCCCAGUCGAGAAACCCCCGGUCUACAAACCUCCUGUAGAGAAGCCUCCAGUUUACAAGCCACCGGUGUACAAACCUCCAGUUUACAAGCCACCAGUAGAGAAGCCACCUGUGUACAAGCCUCCGGUCUACAAACCCCCAGUUGAGAAACCUCCAGUUUACAAGCCACCGGUUUACAAGCCUCCAGUCGAGAAGCCACCAGUUUACGGACCACCUCACCACCCAUAGUACCCUCCCGUAGUUGGCACUACUCGUUUUUAAAGCAUGCUUUUAAGUAAAUAAGAGAUAUAUAAACUUUCCAAAGCAAGGAUCAUAUAUUCUUGGAAAUCUUCAAUUCAAUCUUAUGUUUACAAAUGCUAUUGCCAAGACAAGAGUGUGAAAGAAAAUGGUGCCAUUUGUACUUCAAAUUAUGAAUAAGAACGUUAUGAUUUAGUACUUCUUAUUUUGUGUUUGUUGACUAAAUUUGACAGAGUAUACUUUACUUGUUCCCUAUCAUACCAGUAAGGUGCAUGAAAGUUCAGUCUUGAACGGUGGAAAUAAAUAAUAAUUAAUUAAUGUUUGAAUCUCGAAUUUACUAAAUUAACGAACUUGUAAUUUCAUUGGAAUAUACUUGACUCAGUGGUAGCUUUAGUUUCAACUUGGAAAAUGUCCGUGAUAUGACAAUUUUUCCAAAACAAGUUUAGGUUAAGAUUUUUAUUUUUUAUUUUUGACAUAAUAUACGUUAAGAUUCUUGUGUACUAAUAGAAACUGAAAAAUCAUUUUGGUGCUUAAAGUUUAAUGAGUUGGACAAAUUAUUCACUCAAAUAUGGAAAUGAUAAUGUAGUCUCUUCAAUUAUAGAAUGCCAUUUAAUUUAGUUACCUUUUCAAAAUUAGCAUCACAAUUCGCAAGGUUUUAUAUUUGUGUUGAUGCAUCAGUUAAGAUAAGGAUCACGAAAAUUAGGUUUUUGACUUGGUUUUGAUUAGGGGUGUUUGCGGUGCGUUUUGGUUCGGUUUUGAGCAUAAAAGUCAUCUAAACCUCAAGAUAAAAAAGCAUGCGGUUUGGUUUGAUUCAGUUGAUUUUUAUAUAGUCAUCCAAACAAAACCAAACCAAACCAAUGCGGUUUGGAUUGGUUCGGUUUGUACGGUUUAUCGCGAGAUGAAAAAAUAUUACAUUAACUCUAAUAUUGCCAACUUGUUACAAAAUAAACAUAGGACAUUUUAUUUUGUUGUUUAUAUGAUAAAAUAUUAGGUAAAACUUAUAUCAAAAUAGGUAAAAUUAAGAAGAAACAUAAGCAUGAAACAAAUUAUUGAGAAGUAAAAGAAACAAAUUCAUCACUGAAAAUGAAUUGAAAGAGAUGGAAAGGAAUUAGAAUCGAACCAGAUGGUGCAACAAUGGAAAAAUCUAAUCAAAUGAGAUUAUUCUUGAGCUAUGUAAUUGGGCUAGUACAUGUUUAAGUAAUAUUCAUUAUUCUUGCGGUUUGGUUUGGUACUUGAGAUGCAAACCGCAAACCAAACCGAACCGCGCGGUUCAGUGUAAAAGUCAUCCGAGUUCAUUCGAACCAAGUGCAGUUUUUUGCGGUUUCGGUUUGGAUUGGUUUGGUUUGCGGUUUUUCUAUUGGGUUCGUUCGGUUUUGAACACCCCUAGUUUUGAUCGAUGUUUCCUGAAGAUAUGUUUUGGUAAUUGAACUAAAUAAACUGUCUUACAUUCUUCAAUUAAUGAGAUUAAAUUUCCUUUUUACAAAUAUCAAUGAUUAAUGUCAAGGACUAAAAUGAUGAUUAGUGUCGCGCCAUUUUUCGGAGGUCAAGGCCAUUUGAUUAGCUUUUGACUCACUUUUUAUCUCACGACUGAACAAAAAAUUUUUUAAAGGGGAAAAAGUUUCAAACCACCCAUUUUGAAAAGAUUUAGGGUUCAUGGGUUGGUUAUAUUUAGGGAAGGUAUUAGCACCCUAAAUAUUCGUAGUACUCUAUGAGUACCUCUUGAUUUUAUUUAACUUUUUGUGCUUAAACUUGCUUGCUUUUGAAGAGAUGAAAAUAGAAUUGAAAGAUGAGUUGAAACGAAAAAGAAAAUUGAUUUUAAUUGAAAAGAAAAAAGAAAAUUGUUUUUUAGUUGAUUUGGAAGGACAAGGUCCUCUGCCUACGUACCCGUGAGGGAUCAAAACCUCGUAGUUCGGGGUAGAAAUUGACGUUUGAUUGGUUUUAUAUUUUUUAUUAGUUUUUGAAAAAAGGUUUGAAAUAAAAAGCCAAGUGGCAAAUGAGAAUUGAUUUGUGUUUUUUGGAUUGAAGGAAAUAGACUUGAAGUAGAAUUAAAAUUGAUUUGAGAUUUGAUUAAGAAAGAAAAUAGAAAUAGCGAUCACUUCAUUGAAAGUCAAGGUUUGUUAUAAAAAUAUUUUUUUGUGAUUUUUUGAUAUUUGGAUGUUUUUGCCGUUUUUGAAUAAUGAAUGAAAAUUAAACUAACAGAGCAAUGAAAAUAAAAGUGCGUGGGCGUGAAGAAAAGAUUUUGGUUUAUGUUAGUUCGACAAUAUAAAUAGUAUUUAAUAUAUGUUGUGUUCACUUUGGAUAUUAUCGGACAAAAUUUUGACAAUAAUAAAAAUAAUAAUAGUAAAAUAGAAUAAAAAAUAGAAAGACUAAAGUGAAUCAAAAUGAGAUAAAAAGAUAAAUAUUUAAAACGGAUUUAAAGUUAAUAAAAGAUGGAAACUAAAAUUAAAUGAAAUUUGAAAAUUGAGAGAAGAGGGUCCGACUUGGAACCAAAUAUGAGGUAUUUUAAAAUACCUUCCUAUCGAAAUUUUGUUCGAAAGGCUGAGACCGGUCGGAGUUAAAUGACACGUGUCAGUGCUGCCUUAGGUCAAAAAUUGGGGUAUGACAAUUAGCUCAAUAAUUAAUUAUUGUGAUUUCUUCAUUUUAUAUUUAUAUUUAAGAAUAAAAAAAAAAAAAUGACGAUAUCAACUUUGACACAUUACAUAUUCAAUCAAUGUUGACUUGACCAUCAAUGCUACAUAUCCGGAUGUAAGAGUAGUUCGACGAGUUUAUUUUUGUCACUUUUGUUGAUAUUUUGUUGGUUUAUGCUAUUAACUUGCAUCUAGUAAACUUGUUCAUAGCUUCAUCAUUUUCAGUUUUAGUGACAUGAUAUUUGUGUUGUAUUCAAUGUGAUUUACCGCGCGAUAUGAAUAAUAUAUAUUUUUAGUCAAAAUUAAUCAUGUCGGACCUGAGAUCUUUGGUUUGAUGGCGUUGAACGACCUUUGAGUAAGACAAUGUUAAACCAAAAUGAGUUUUAUACAAUGCCUCUGAAGUUUUGAUAAUAACAAAGUAUAAAAAGAACAAUUGAAUAUGCCAAUGUUGUUCAAGUAUGCUCGACCAUAUAUUAAAAUUCAAAGUAUUAAAUCAAGUUUUGAUUCUGAAAGAACAAGAUUAUGAACAUAUACAAGAGCAUCUGCAACUUAUGAGAAGCUGGAAAUUUGGAUCAGACUCUGAAUAAGUAAGACUGUGAAAGUCGGGAGUGUAACACCCUGAACCCCACAUACUAUUUUUAAAAGUAAUAAUUCAACAUUUAAAUAAACAUAUCAAGAUGUUACUCUUCAUUUUCAACACAUAACAAGUCUCCAUCUUAAAAUAUCAACUCACAGCGGAAAUAAGUCUCAACAACACAAAUGUCAUACAUCAUAUCUCAGAAUAAGUACAUCAUCAAAAUAAACUCAAGGUUCCUCAAACAUAAUAUGAUAACAUAAAUAAAAUCCCAACAUCCUAAUCAGAGAACCACUAGACAAGACUCCAAAAUCAAAGCGGUAAAAGAUGAGUAGGCUGCAAGCCGUCCUCGGAAACUCAUGGUAACUUUGCGUCCUCAACCUGCAAGUCUCCACCACAAGGGCGUAGGCGACCAUUUGCCAAACGUAGGGUAAGAUAUAAAUUUAACAUAGAGGAAAUAUGAACACAUAUAUAGUAUUAGGAUCGCAACAUCAUAUACAAGUAUUCAUCUUAAGCAAUACCAUAUUAACAUGCAUUCUCAUUGAUUGGUAAAAUAUACACAACAAAUCUCAAAUCAUCAUCACAAGAAUAUAAAAAAGUAAACACAUCAUUGAUUAAUCAUCCAAUGGAAUACAUAGGAUUCACACAUUAUCACUUUCAUUAAAUCACACAUUUUCCAUAAAAUACACAUAGUCAUGUAUGCAUCUUUCACAUAGAUUCACAUAGUCAAGUACUCAUCUUCUACAUAGACUCUCAUGUACGAAAUGUUCCUACUCGACUUUAUAUGCAUGUGGUACUGUUUUCGAUAUCAGAGGUAUUUUCUGAGUGAUUUCACCGUCACUUGGACUGACCAUGAAUGCAUGAACAUCUCAUCAUGACUCGACAAUGCAUAAUUCAUAUAACUCGACAAUUUACAUCAACAACAUCAUCACAUCGUAUAUUAAUUCAUCGUCGCUAUAUCAUCAUCAUCAUCAUCAUCAUCAUCAUCAUCAUUUUCAAUGUCAUUAUAUCAUCAUCAUCAUCAUCAUAUCAACAUCUAUAUAUAGUUCAAAUCAUCAUGUCAAACCAUAUCAAUAUGUAUCCACCUCGUCUCGCAAUCACAUUCACAGUCAUCAUCAUUAUAUAUUCAUAAGACAUUAUUCUACAUCAUCAAGUAUACUUCGUUAAUCAUCUAACAAGUUCACAGUCAUUUCAUGAUUCAAUUAUAAUUAAAUCACAAGUUUAUUUCUAACCAUUUCAAUUGCUAAGUUUACUUCCAUCAUAAGCUAGGUUAAUUACUCUUACACAUCAAAAUUAUACUUCUAUUAAUCAAGUUUAGAGGUUUGUGACAUAUUCACAUGCAUUGGAUACCUUAAAAUACCAAAAAUAUGAGUUUCCCACUAUAGGGAGGGUUGCACGGUAGUGCCAUCCAGGUGCACAGUCGUGCUCAUCAUGCAGGUAGGGAAAAGCUAUAAUUUUUGCGUUUUGCUCAGGAAGAACCCCUUUCAACACCAUUUUUCGAUCCAAUUCACACCAAACUAGACCCAAAUCAUAAAACUAAUGUUGUCUAAUCAAUUACACAUUAAUUUUACCUUAACUAACUUUAUUAUACUCAUUAUUAUCGUCAAUUAACAUGAACUUCAAUUGUUUUAAACUUAUCACUUCAAACCCAUUUUUAACAUGGUAAUUCAAACCCCAAACAUAGUAACAACCAAAUCAACAUCCCUUAUUCAAAAUGAACACAAAAAAAUUCAUCAAUUCACAUUAUAAACAUCAACUCAACAAUUAUCAACAAUUAUCAUGAAUUUCACCAAUUUCACAUAAAACUCAAAAACCCUAAUUCACCAUAAUCAAACAUUGAUUUUAACACAACUGUUAGGUUUGUAGUCUUGACAUGUUGGUGCGACAUCAUAGCGUGCCUUGUUCCGAUUUCUUGGAGAUUGUAUUUAAAUGUGAAAUCGCAGAAGAAAACUAAACGCAUCACAACUAAGAAAAGGUAGAAUAAAACCUUUCUACAAACAAAGCGCACAUCACUUGAAAGCAAAAUAAAUACGCAACUAAAUUUCAAAAAAGAUAUGCAUAAAUUAUCAUAGAAUAAGGCACCAAGUAACACGUUCUUACGUCUCAGAUUACCAAAUGGCUCUCCGAAAAAUAACCAGAGUAUGAUAAAAUUACAGAUUUCCCAAAACAAAAGGAACAUAAACUAAAAUACAAAGCACGAAAACAAAGAAGACACAACAACAUAACUCUUCAUCCACUAACUUUCCAUCAACCAAAAUCUUGGAGGGGUCCAGCUCGCUCACAUUAUCAUCAGGGUUAAAAUGCAGAACUUGCGCCCUAGUAUGCUCAAAGCCAUUGUCAAAAUAUAAGGCAAGAUCCCCCUUGCCAUCCUCAACGACGAAUUGAGCUUUGGCGAGAUCCCCUUACAACUAGACGACCUUCUUCUUCCAUGAAUCUCUCUCCAGCUCAACAACUUCUUUUUCAUCCUUCAUAUCUUUGGUCGUCUUCUCUGCAGUCUUCUUAUCCUCCAAGGCUUCCUUCAACCUACUUUCAAGACCCGUUGCUUUAUGCUUCCACUUCUCCACAUCUUCAUGAGCGUCUUUAUACUUUGCCUCUAAAGCACCAUGUUUCUUCUCCAUCACUUUUCCUAAUAAAAGGACCCGGAGCACUAAUAUUCUUGUAUCCAUUACUAGCUCGCCAAAUUUGCUUUUAACGCCAGCAUCAACGUCAACCUUAGACAGUGGCACUUUAUCCUCCAUGUAGCUACGAUAAACGCAUGACUUAAAAGUUGAAAACCCACUAACAUUACUAGAAUUUAAGUAAAAUCUCAUCAUCAAAUUAAACUCUCAUACCUACGAAAGUCGAAAUCUUUAUGCCAAAAAGAGUCAGCCACCUGAACAUUCAGAGAAAUGGUUCCCGCCACCCCGCUAGCAUAAUCAUCAUCCUUCCGACUGGCAACAAAUGUCCGCUUCGAGUCGCCCUUCCCAGUCCUCAUCUUCUUGCGUCUGGGCGAGUCAGUUUGCUCAGCCAGUACCCCAUUGCCUGCCGUCUCCAUGUUAUCAAUGUCCAUAUCCGAAUGUAACAUCCUAAAAUUUUAAGUCUAUAUUCAAAUGUAGUUAAAAAUAUAAAACAUAAUAGUGUAAUUAUUUUAAAAUACGCGAAGAUAAAAAUAAAGACAAAUAAAUAUGAUAUAAUUUCUUAUUAAUAAUUAAAUUUUAUUGGAUAAAAAGAAAAGGAGAAAGAAAGAAAAACAAAAAUAAAGGGAGUGCAAAUAACAAUUAUUUUUAGAAAAGAAAAAAAAAGUUAUAUACUUUCUCGAAUUUUUUUUCUGCCCUUGUUUAUGCAAAAAAAUACAAAAAUGCCCCACUUUUUCGAAAAAUUGCGUAAAUGCCCUACUUUUUCAGAAGCCCCUGGUACUACUCCACUUGGAGUUGCGGGGUACCCUAAAAAGUCACAAUUUUUUUGUCCUUAUUGUACGCCGCUACUUGGACUUGCGGGGUACUUUCCUACUUUUUUUUUUCCACUUUUUUUACUACCCCGCGAGUCUUAGCUUUUGCUUUUUUUUUUAAAAUUUUUUUUUUUUAAAUACCCCUCUACUUGGAGUAGAGUGGUAUAAUGAAGACAAAAAAAAUUCAACGUGUAAUAAUUACUCUCAAAUAAUAAAAAACUAAUUAAAAUUAUAUAACCAAUAAAAUACCAUCUACAAUGAUUAUAAAUGCCCGGCUGUCCCACACCUUCGUCUUCGACGAUCUCUUCCGCGAUUUACUUGAGGGUUAUGUUGGUCUUCGUCAUUUUUAUUUGUAGUUGAUUGUAUCUGACUACCAUAACCCAGUGACAACGACACAUCGUGUUCUCUUGUUGGCCAUCCCAUAUCCAGAAAUUGUUCAUUGGAGUUCAACGAAGUCGGAGAGAAGUGAGAUAAUAGGUUUGUUGGUGUUGGUGGGUGGUUGUAGUUUUGGUUGGUGUACAUUGGGUAUUGUGGGUUGUUGUAGGGGGGUAAUUGGUGUUGGACGGUCCAGCUUGGUUUGGGUCAUUAUAGGAGAAGUAGUUGUUGUUGGAUGUGUUAGCUUGGUUUGGUUCAUUGUAACCAUAAUUUGUCAUUGAAUUUUGUUGGUAAGUUGACUGAUAUUGGGGCUCAUAUGCAUUUCUCGGGGAGGUAUAUGGUGGUGGUUGGAUGAUAUUUUGUUGGGGGGUGUCGAGAAAUUCAUACAUUACAGAACCAUGAAUGUUUUGUGUUGUAUGUGGUUGGGAUUGAUGAUCUUGUAGUUGAGAAAAAAUGUCUUGAUCCCAAAAAUCAUCAUGAAUUGGUGUUUGGUUGUUGUGAAUUUCAGGUUCAUGUUCCGGCUCCGGCUCUUCUUGUUCGUCUGGAUCUGAAUCUGAUGGUUUUGUCUCAACUGAAAUCCUUAGACGUGGGUUGCAUGUGGUUGUCAACCACUCAAUAUACGCAUGAGUUGGGGUGAGUGAUCUUGGCCGCAUGUGAGGUAAAAUAUAACUCCGUCGGUUGUCCCAAUGUAAGCUCUCUUGUGGAAAGUGAAAACCAUUUGAUUGGUACCACAUCUUGAACCGUUUGUCCACUAUAUGGAAUUGUCGCAUGUCUCGUGGGGCCCCUGGUAUUUCCUGUGGCAAACCAAAUUCUAGCUUGACCCUAUCAGUUGGAUGCCAUUCAACUCUGUCAAAACAUAUAAGGUGAGUUGUUGCAGUCCACUCCCAAUAGUCUUCAGGAAAAUUGUGUGGAACAUUCUUGUAUGGUCUCCAUUUAAACUGGCAGAAGAGAGAAGUUGUAGUGUAAGGUUAACAAUUUUGAUAUAUAUAUAUAUAUAUAUAUAUAUAUAUAUAUAUAGUUCGAUAGGUGAAAUAUAUAUUCAUUAUUAAUUAAAUAACUCCUAAUUAAAUACUUGUAAAAAAACUCAUGAUUAAAUAAAUAAUUAAUUUAUAAUCGCGACAUUUUUUUAGUCCUAUAUUAAUUGCAUGUCCUACUUUUUUUUUUCUUACAAAAGAAAGUUAACAUAUAGCUUUUUAUUUCUUUACGACCAUGAAAGUGUUAAUAUGUAGCUUAAAUAACAAAAUAUCUUAAUUAUAUUUAAUUAGACCAUGAAAGUUAGUUUACCCUUGAAAUUACAUAAAAAAAAAAUUACCGUUCAAUAUAUAUAUAUAUAUAUAUAUAUAUAUAUAUAUAUAUAUAAACUCAUACAUUCAAAAAUCAAUUAUAAUAUUACUUGAUGUUCCAGUAUGUCAUCAAACUUUUUUCUGUAAGAUAUAGUGUCAUGGCUUGGAUUCUCGUAGUAUCUUGAACCUGCACCUGUCCAUCUAACAAAUGAUAUAAACAAAUUAGUAGCUAAUUUAUCAAAUAAUAAUAUUAAUAAGAAGCGAGAAUAUGCGAGGAAAUUAACAAAAAAAAUAAAUAAAUUAAUUGACCACGAUUACUUUAAUCCUAGCGGCUACUGGAGUGGGUUAUCAUUUCUCGGAGCGAUAUAACUCAACCGACAAUAUCCCCAAACUUGUAACAGAAAAUGACAUCCAGAUAGUGCUUUUAUAUUUGGGUGUGAUGCCUCACACAAGCCACGAUAAAGGUAAGCCAAAACUGCCGAUCCCCAACUAUAAUUUCUUGUUUCAUUAAAAUCCAUUAACAAAUACAACCAAGAGUUGUGCACAAAUAAUCCAGUUGUAUUAGGAAACAAGAACCCUCCAAAGAGGUAUAGUAGGUACCUCCUGUGUGUUGUAUUUUUACCUCCGGAGGAGAUUGUUCACUGAAGUUAUUAUCGACCAGAUUAUCCUUUAAUCACGACAACGAGAGAGUAAAACCAUCAGUUUUGUGUGCUGGAGGAGUUAUUCCCAACAAUUGAGCACAAUUAUUCCACAGAAGAUUUGGAGGAGCCGUAACAAUUGGUCCUCCAAAAGGUAAGCCGAGUAAAAUAUAUACGUCUUCAAACGUGAUUGUACAUUCACCCGUUCGAAAAUGAAAAGUAUGUGUUUCGGACCGCUAUCUUUCUACAAGAGUGGUUACGAUGUGCCUAUCAAUUUUGUAACGCCCUAUUUGAGAAACCUCAAAAAAUCCAGCUUGACGUAGAUAAUCUUCAAUAUAAGGACUUGGUAUGAUGUUUUGCCGUGUACGAGUGGUUAGAGGUGCACCCUCUGCAUCCUAACAAAAAAUAAUAAAGGAAUAAAAUUAAAACAUAAUCAAAAUAUAAAUUUAAAAAAACGUGAACAUAUUUAAAUUAAUAUUAAAAAAUAAAAAUGACAUUAACAAAUUAAUAUCUAUAUAUACCCAUCUUCUUAUAUGUUCUUCCAUGGAUCUAUGAUCAUUUUCCAACCACAAGUAUGCCAUUGCUUUAUAGAAUUUGAUUGAAAUAAUCUCUUAUGUGAGUGAGUAAGGAAAGGAUUGAGAUAAGUAGAAUAUGUGUAAAGAGUAAAAAUAUAGUUGUGGUAUUUAUAAUGUAAAACUAUGUGUAAAUGGUAGAAGUAGUAGUGUGGUAUUUUAAUCAAUGAAGUGAAGAGUUCCUGUGUUACUACUGCAACGCAUGCAAGCCAACAGUGUUCAAAUAAACAUAGAAAUGACAAUUGCAUCAAUAGCAGAAGCAUGGUGUUCAACAAUAUUGAAUUAAUUCGUAAACUUUGCCUCAUGAGAUGACCAUUGCAUGUAAAAAAUACAUUAAUUUCUUGCAAGAAAUUUUUGACUGAAAUGACCAAUGCAUGUUUUGAUCACGUGAAGCAUGCUAGCAAACAAAUGGCCGACAAGCUGCCUCUGAAUAACCAAUAGGAACGGCGCGUGCAAAUACUACCCCGCCACUCUGGGUUGCGUGGUACCCCCAGCUGGCGCAUGCUUUACAUACCCCGCCACUCCAGCUUGCGUGGUACCCCCCAGCUGGCGCGUGCUUUACCUACCCCGCUACUCUAGCUUGCGUGGUACCCUCUAGCCCGCUAGUCCAAACUGCGUUGUACCUUUUUUAAUUUUCCCGCUCGAAGGGCAGAUUAAAUUACAUGUUAGUAUAAAUAAAAGUGGUCUGCAUGAUAUCAUUGUAUCAAACCAUUCUACUUCAUACUCUUACUCAUUUCUUAAGAUCAAACCAAUUCAAUGGCACCAAAUAUAAACGUUUUUGUGUACUAUAAUGGAGAAGUUAAACAAAAUGAAUCCGGUAUUUUUUUUCAAAGUCAGUAUACCAAAGGUUUUAAAGUCAGCAUGGCUAGUACUUACUUGCAUCUCAAAAGAAGAAUUGCGGAAAAAGUAUGUCUCGAAGAUAAUAUGGUUGUGUCUGAAAUUAUGUGUCGGAAUCCUAUGUUUGUUGGAACUACCACAAUUCAUUACCAGGCGUUAAGAAUAACUGAUAACGACGAUGUCGAGUUUAUGUUUAACGUACAUAAAAGUCACAGUUCUUUGUCCUAUAUAGAGCUUUAUGUUACGUUUGAGAUGAAGAAUCCAACAUCUAAUUUUGAGUUAAAUUACCCAUCGAGUUCUAGUCAACACCAAAGUCUACCACAACACUACAAUCCGUCAUCGUCGCAAGAACACUACAACCCAUCAUCGUCCCAACCGCACUAUAACCCGUCUCCCAUUUAUGAUGCAUCCUUAUCGCAACCUUUUCAGUCAAAGUGGUCACAAAAUGUGUACGAACCAUCACAAAUAAUAACUCAACCUCAUCCCUCUCAAACACCAUCUCGUUCAACACAACCCAAAACCUUAAACGAUGAAAUCAAUAUAUUCACCUCCCAAUUUCAAGACCAACCAAAUGAUGAAGUUCAAGAUGAUGAAGACGAUGAUGAUGAAGAACUCCUUGCCGCACAAAACGGUGACGAGAACGAAGAAGACGAAGACGACGAUCUGCCACUACUACCAAUUUUACCAAUCAGAGCUUCUUACAACCCACCAAGGUCCAUGCGCAACGUCAAUGAUGACCACUCAACUGAACUUUAUCAUUCAAUGGCUCUUCCGGUCGAUCAAGGUAUUGCCCUAGGGAUGCAAUUUCAUAACAAGAAUGAUUGCAUUCUCGCAAUUAAAUUUUAUCACAUGAAAAAAUCAACGGAUUAUAUUGUGAAAAAAUCAGAUCCUGAAAGGUAUGUCAUCAAAUGUAAAGAUACAAAAUGUGGUUUCAAAUUGCGGGCCUCGUGGAGGAAAAAAACUGAUAAAUGGGAGAUUGGGAAAAUGAAUGAUCAUACAUGUGUCUCAACAGAAAUGACGCAAGAUCAUCAUAAACUUAGUUACAAUGUGAUAUGUGAAAGUGUUAAAUCACUACUACAUAUGGAUACUUCAAUUACAGUGAAGGUUAUAAUUGCACACAUCCGAGAGAAGUUUAAUUACACAGUUUCAUACAGAAAGGCAUGGAGAGCACGGAAUAAGGCGAUUAAAUCAAUUUAUAGUAAUUGGGAGGAGUCUUAUGAAGAACUACCACAAUGGUUGAUGGUCAUGGAAAAAGAUUUGCCAGGAACAAUAAUUGAUUUUCAAACGGACCCAUCAACAGAAGUGGCAAAUGAGACCGUCUUCAAGCGUCUUUUUUGGGCCUUUCGUCCGUGCAUCUCAGGUUUCGAAUUCUGCAAACCAAUUGUCCAAAUUGACGCAACUUGGUUGUAUGGUAAAUACAAGGGAACAUUGUUGUUAGCUGUUGCGCAAGAUGGGAACAACAAGAUAUUUCCCAUAGCUUUUGCAAUCGUGGAAGGCGAGACCAAGGAGGCAUGGAGUUUCUUUUUGAAAAAUUUAAGGCAGCAUGUCACCCCACAAGAGAACAUAUGCCUCAUUUCUGAUAGACAUGUGUCGAUAAAGAGCGCGUAUGAUGAUCCACAGAAUGGAUGGCACGAUGCUCCGACAAGCCAUGUUUAUUGUGUCCGACACAUUGCACAAAACUUUAUGAGAUCAUUCAAGGAUGGAGAACUAAAGAAGAAAGUUGAAUGCAUGGGUAAAAAUCAUAUCUCUUUCCACGUAAAUUCGACAUUUUAUUUGUUUAAAAUGACACAUCUAACUUUUUUCAAAACAAUGCAGGUUACGCCAUGAACAUCCCUACAUUCGAAUACUACCGUUCUGAAAUUGCUGUUGCAGACCGAAAGGCUUUAGCAUGGGUCGACAAUAUUCCCAAACAAAAGUGGACUCAAUCACAUGAUGAUGGUCGACGAUGGGGCCAUAUGACAAGUAACUUGGUAGAGUCACAAAACAACGUGUAUAAGGGUAUUCGAGGACUUCCGAUCACAGCUAUCGUGAAAGCAUCAUAUUACAGGUUGGCGGCCUUGUUUGCUAAAAGAGGACAUGAGGCAGCGGCAAGGGUAAAUUCUGGUGAGCCAUUCUCAGAAAACAGCAUGAAAUAUCUCAGGAAUGAGGUGAUUAAAUCCAACAGUCAUCAUGUCACACAGUUUGACCGGGAUCGGUAUACCUUUUCCGUCCGUGAAACCAUCGACCAUAAAGAAGGAUUGCCAAAGGGAGAAUACAAGGUGGACCUGCAAAAUAAAUGGUGUGACUGUGGACGAUUCAGAGCGUUACACCUACCAUGCUCACAUGUCAUUGCCGCAUGUUCUAGCUUUUCUCACGACUACAAGACUUUUGUCGAUAACAAAUUCACGAAUGAGUGUGUAUACGCCGUAUACAACAUCCACUUCGACGUGGUUCACCACCAGACAUAUUGGCCUAAUUAUGAAGGACUGAAGGUGGUUCCCAACAAGUCCAUGUGUAGGGUAAAGAAAGGUCGUCCACCAAUUACUCGCAUUAGGACCGAGAUGGACGAUGUGGAAACUGAGAGAAGAUGCGGCGUUUGUAGGAUGCCUGGUCAUUCCCGCAAAGAUUGCAUUAAUAUUAGACACCAGUAAAAAUCUAGUCUUUAUUUCGUUUGUAGGAUGUAUGGUCAUUUCCACAAAUAAUUGUAGAUUUUAUGGUAUUUUAUUGGUUAUAUAAUUUUAAUUAGUUUUUUAUUAUUUGAGAGUAAUUAUUACACGUUGAAUUUUUAUUUUUUUUUGUCUUCAUUAUACCACUAUACUCCAAGUAUUUAAAUUUUUUUUUAAAAAAAGCAAAAGCUAAAACGCAAGUCCAACUUGCGGGGUAGUAAAAAAAGUGGAAAAAAAAAAGGAAAGUACCCCGCAAGUCCAAGUAACGGGGUACAAUAAGGACAAAAAAUUUGUGACUUUUUAGGGUACCCCACAACUCCAAGUGGAGUGGUACCAGGGGCUUAUGAAAAAGUAGGGCAUUUGCGCAAUUUUUCGAAAAAGUGGGGCAUUUUUUUAUUAUCUUUGCAUAAACAAAGGCAGAAAAAAAAAAUUCUACUUUCUCCCCACGUUUUCUCAAAAUUUGUUUCUAAAAUAAUAAUAAAAAAAGAAAUAGUUAUUUCAGAAAGAGAAACCGUGUGAUAUUUUUUAAUUAGUGUACACCUACACUUCUCAUGUGCCUAUAAAUAAGAUGCUUAGUUGAACAUAAACUCACACUACAAAACUCUCCUCUCUCUAAAAAAUCAGGUUAGUUCUCUCUCUCUCUCUCUCUCUCUCUCCUUUUCUGAACUUUCUCUAUUCAAUCUAUAGUCAUUCUUUAUUCUUUUGAAAGAGACAAGAUUUACUACUAAAAUAACCUCAGAUUUGGUCCCCACAACCCUUCUUUUGGGAAGAACAACAACAUAGUAUACCCUUCUUUUGGGAAGAACAACAACAUAGUAUUAGAAUGUUCUUUUAUCAGAUGAGAAAGUGACAGUAGUUUAGUUCUUUUCAACCUAAUCAAACCAUGAAAAUAGUUUAGCUCUUUUCAACCAUUCUUUUUCAACAGAAACAUCAUUCAAUAAAAUAAAAUAAAGAGAUCUCAGAUCUGUUUUAGACUUUUAGUAGAAAAAAUUACACGAUUUAAUUAUUGUAUUUUUUAUACUGAUACAAACUAUGAAGAUUGAAACAAAGUUCAUAAGAAAGUUGAGAUCUUGUUUAAUUCAUAUUUUUAGUUUAAAGAAAAAUAAAGAAAUGAACAUUGUUUUAAGAAUGACGUAAUGACUAUUAAAUGGCUUUUAAACAUUCUGACUAUAUAAAAAGGUAGUAACAUAAGUUUCAUUUGAAAUAAAAUAAAAUCAAGCUAUUAUUAAAAUAUAUCUAAUAUAAUCUGAAGAAAAAAAAAGGACGUGAUACAGAGAAACAAAGGAAUUAGAAAACUUUAACUCGUUAUCUCUAUUAUUAUGACCUUGAUAAUGACUAUAGUCUAAUAGAUAGUUUAUUUUGGGUGAGUAUUCUAGGUGAUAUUGGAGCUGCUUUCGACGGAAACAAUAUUGCAACCACUUGCGAAGAAUCCGAAGGUAAGGGGAAUUACUACUAAUAAAUUUUAAAGAUUUUGCAUAAGUUAUGUGCUUAAGUGAUUAUAUGUGAGUAAAUAACUCUACUUGUGAGAGUUAAUUUCUCGAUGAUGUGGUAAUUUCUAGCGAUCAAGUACAUGUCAAAGGACAUCGACUUAUAUGUGUUUUAGUUAAUAUAAUUAGGAGUUUUUGAAAAUAUAAUACAUAAGUAGAAGAAAAAGUUUUGUAAAUGAUGAAUUGAUUAGAUAGUUAUAUUAUGUUUAUUUGGUAUUACUCUUGUGUAAGUGAAUGAGCAUAUGAAUUUCAAUAAGUGUUAACUGAUUUCGAUGAGUGAAAUUAGUUGGAAAUAUAUGAUUUAAAGUGUCAAUUAUGAUUCGACGCGAUAAUUUAUAAUGUUAAUCAUGAUUAAAAACUUCUCUAUAAAAAGAAAUGAUCUAAGAGAGAUAGUUGUAUCCCACCUCAUUAAUUUUAUGGUAUCAACUCAUAGGUAUGUUGUAAAGGAAAGAAACUUAAGAAUGCCAAACUAUGAUCACUAACUUAGUACGUAGACAUAGUAUAUAUAGUUAUAUUGUACGUGUAGGAAAUUCUUUAAAACAAAUGUAUAUGUGCUUUUUAACUAGGCAACAUGAAUUAUUCUUUGUUAAAAUCUCAUGAAUAAAAAGAACAUGUACUAGUUUAAUUGAAUUACCUAAGUUCUUACUUACUGCUGAAAUUUCUAUGCUUAUAAAUAAAUGAAAAAGAACAUAUGCUGGUCAUUAAUUGUUCAGUUAUUAUGUACUGGCUUGAUUUACUUGCUGGAAUUUCUAUGCUUAUACAUAAAUGAAGAGGGACAUAUGCUGGUUAUUAUUUGUUGAGUUAUUAUAUACUGGUUUGAUUUACAUCACUGUACUAAUUGAAUAAAAUUCUGAUGUGGCUAAUCAAUUUUAUAAACAUAAAUGGUUAAUUGUUUGACAUUGUUGAGUUGAAUAUGAGUGUUUUGUCUUGUCUAGAAAGUAGGGACAAUUAAGGAGCUAUAACAGGUCCCUAUACACUCAGGUGUAGAUGAGAAUGAGGAUAGUUAUGGUUUGGUUACUUUGAGGAUCUAUCGAGGGCACUUGUGUUUCGAACGCCUAUCAAUAGUUGGGGAUUGCUUCCCGGCUGAAAGUACUCGUACUACCAGACACGGUGAGCCUGAAAAAACUAGACUAUCUAUGAUAAGGUAGUGCGAUCGGACUAGAAUGAUUAGAGUUUAAGCAUAUCUUGCUCAAAAUACUAAUAAUCAUGAUAUAGUUGCCGAAACGGCCUUAUGCUCAUUAGAGUGGAACCUCCAUGGAGUAGUGAAUUAUGAGAAGAAAAUAAACUAGAGUCAAGAAAAAAAAAGUCAAAAGAGUUCAUGCAUGUGUCAUGUUGAAUGUCAAACUAUUAAUUCAAAUUGGACCUCUUAAAAGAUAGUUUUUUUUUUUUUUUUUUUAUAAUAUGCUUUGUGAUUGUUGUUGGACAGUGAAUGAAAAGAAAAUAUUAUAUCUAUGUAAAUAUCAUUUUACCUUGCUGUAUAUAUAUUAUUUUCUUUUUCCUUAUGUAAUAAAUCACGUGGAAAACUUGUGUACGAGUAAUUCACCCUUCUUUGUUUGUUUUUGUAUCUUGUUGUUUUUUUUGGGUAUGUUCGGACGUUUUUAUAGAUGAUGCCAGAAAGACAUUUAGCUCACUCGGGAACCCGCAUGAUCGAGUUCCUUGAGGUAUUUUCUUUUGCAACACUUAUUAAAGAAGAAAGUAAUAAUAAAUCAAAACACUCACACAAAGACGCCUCAAGACUAUUGGAAUCACCCUAUCGUAUCAAAAGCUCAUGAAUAUCCAUAAGUAAAAACUUCUCCAAAAAGAACACCAUACCCUACUCAUAGGGUGCCAUCUUAUUAAAAUCAUACCCCAUCACUGCAAUCGGAGCAAUGAUCCAACAUAAAGGAAACUUUGGUUUUCCUUCCACCAUCACCAACGAAGUUGAGCCCUCAGGCUCUCCUUGCACCCUAACAAACGAAUCACACCAAUCCUUCUUAAAGUUAGAAGCAUAAGGAGGGAAAAGUUUUUUACUAGGAUAGGCACUAAUUGAAACCCACAUUCCCUUGUUUACAUCUUUCGUCCUAUAAAAAUGGAAGAAGACGCCAACAGAAGGCUCCAAACUCAUCCUUACAAAGUAGUUUGAAUCCACGAAUAAACGCCUAGCUAUUAGGACGUAUUUGCGAAGGCGCCACAUUCAGAAACUUUAGCACAUCCAUCUCAAAAUCCGUAAAGGGUCGUCACCCCAAACUCUUCCAACACCGUCAUAUACAUAAGAAAGGAAUCAUCCCUGACACCCUCCAAACGCUGAUCGCACACUCUCUCGCCUACAUCACAGGGCGACACUGUCACAUCUUUCUCGUUCUCAGUAGCAGAAGUAUCCAUCUUGUUUCAGAAUAAAUUGAUAUCCGAAGGCGACAUAUAUGAAAACACCGCUCGAAGAACUUCUUCAGCUAAAUGAUUCAUCUCCAACUCAUAAGAAUACGUCAAACACAUAAUCUCUUUUUGAGUAGACGGAAGAGGCAUAUAAUGACAAAUCUCUUGACAAGUUUUCCCCCUACGACAAAUCACUAUCACUACCAUUAGAGCUAUCGCUACUAGUGUUGCUAUCAUUGGACAAUUCCCCUAAAACCCUACGAUAAAAAAGCCCUAAUUCGUAAGCUUCCCAAUCAAUCAAGUCAUUAGGAUGUGUUGCAUGUCUUAAAGAAUCUCUCCUCAGUUGGUCUCUCUCAUCAAAAUUCGUAGGAGAGAAGGCGAAAAAUGAGAGAAGGAAAAUGGAAGAGUACUUGAGAAGAUUGAAAACGUGAGCUUAGAAAUCCAGACAAUCAGCUGGCAAGUGCGCGAAUACGGAGAACUAAAAGGCGAAAAAUGCGGAAGUGAAAUGAGGAAAGGAAGGAAAUGAAGGGUCAAAGAGUUUUAGAGGACAACAACAAUUAAAACCCCCUCAAAAAACACGCUCAUCCUUGGCACGAUUGGAGACACGUGUCAAGAUACACCCAGAUUCGAACACGUCACUAUCAUCGAAAGGUCACACAUUUUGGACCAUACAAUCAUGUUAAAAAUGAAAGAUCUCGUCGAUAUAGAAUUUCAAAAAACUCGUUGCCAACUCCUCAAACAGGAAACUUACUCGCCGUGCUGUUACAAAUCACUUCGCCUUGUCCCAAGACUCGUGGUUGGGGGCUGUGAACAAACAUCAGGCAUAAAACGCAUGACUCGACUAGCACACACCCUAGGGGGCUCUAGGAUAAAGCAUAAUCACCCAAGGGGGACUCUGUAAGCUCCAACAACAACAUCCAAAGACAUACACAAAAAAUACUGAUAAACGUAAAAUAAAUUCCAAAUGCUAAUUAAUCAUUUCGCCUUGUCCCAAGACUCGUGCUUAGGAGGCUUUGGACCGUCAAUAUCUUCUUAAGGACCUAGAAGUCCUCCCAAAGGGCAUUUAGACCCUCCUAGAUGCCUAACACCCUUCAAAAGGGCUCUAAGGCCCAACACGCGCCCUUCCUAGGGAGCCGCCUCUACCAGCUUCUAAAACCUCCAAAGCUCGGCCUAAAUACCUAAUACGAUUACAAACCCUAAUACCUCAUUACGUAUAGCUUAAGAACCAUAAAUCAGGCCAAUAGAGGGCUAUAAAUACAACCUUUGAGAGCCUUCUGAAGGCAUGACCAAUACAUUACAAACCCUAAUACGAUUAUUGUACUUUUGCAAGUACAAUGAGGAAGGCGAUAUUGACAGGGAAAGUUUCCACCUAAUUUGGGCUAAAAACAUGGACUUUUGGGGGUAAAAAAGUCACAAAAAGUGACUUUUUUCGCAAGGAGCAGGGCGCCUAGCGCAUAAUGGCAUGCACCUAGCUCAUGUUCCUGCUAGGCUGAGGCGCCUAGUGCCCCUUUCAUGCGCCAGACGCUUCAGUUGUUUAGCUUAGGGGCACCUAUUGUGCACCUGGGUGCAUAAGUGCCUUUUCAGUGCCUUUUCAGUGCUGUUUUUCUUGUUUUCUUUGCCUUUUGAGGUGUUUUCUUCAAUGUAAGAUGUCUUGGAACUUGAGAACAAAAUUCCUUCCUUUGUAAAGACUUCUGAGGCAUCUUGAAUCUUCAUUAUUCAUCUUCCCAAGGUCCACAUAAAUCUUCAAAUGUCUUGCAUUGUCUGAUUUGCUUGAUUUCUUCGUGAAUUACUUCAACAACACCCUAAAAUUGCUAUUUUUCAGGAAGAAUAGAAUUACAAACUCAAUAUAAAAUACAUUACAAAUGUACCGAAAUCAUAGGCAAUUGAUCAAAUACUCUUCUUCUUUGCUGGUAAAACCUACUGAAAUUGACUGAAAAAUGUAACAGCCCUAUUUUCGUUAGAUUUAUUUUAAUUGUUUUAAUAUGUGUUUAUUUAUGCUUAUGUGUGAUUAUUAUCAUUGGGUGCAUUUUUAUGGGUUUUCGUGUUGGAAGGAUAAUUUAGUAAUUUCAUGUAAGGAUUAUUUUUAGUGUUUCAAGUGAGAACCAUUAUUUACUAAGUUACUAGUGUGGUAAUUAGUUGUGAGCCGGUAAGUGAUCGUUGUUAUUAUUUUACCGUUAAGGGAGUAGAAACAUUUUAGAAUUAGUGAAUUAGUGGGUUAAGCCCACUAAGGCAUUAGGGUUAAACCCAAUUGAGAAGAGCCUAUAUAAGUUCUAGAUUUUAGAGAAAAAUAGGUUUCCACUUCAUUUCAUAAGAAUUUUGAGAGAGGUAGAGAUAGAAAGUUCAAGAGAAGAGGAAAAUGGUUAGAAGGGAGAAAAGCUUGAAGACUCAAGAGGUGAUAGAGAUUCUAGGACCUAAAUUGAAGCUUUUGCUAGGAUUUUUGCUAAUUGAGGUAAGGGGGUUAGAUUUCAAUCAUAAUAACUUAGUUGUAGCUUUUACCCUAAUUUCAUGUAUAAAUGCUUAUUUGUAUAAAGUGAUUAUUAUGAAAUUAAUUGAUGAAAUUCGUGGUUAUGCUUUGAUGUGAUGUUUGGGUAUGUGAAAUUGAUGUUAAUUAAGUUGUUGAUGAAGAAUUUACAUGCUCAAGUUAUGUAUAUAUGUAUACUUGUGUUUUUGCUCAAAAUUGAUGAAGUAUAAUGUUAUUGUUGGUGAAUUGUUGAUGAAUUCACUUCUGAUUGUUGUUGUUGUGAUUGUGAGUAGUUGUUGUUGAUGAUUGAAACCUUGGGUAAUCUUAACCAUAGAGCUUGAAGUGAGUUUCUAUUGUUCUUGAAGUUUUCAUGAAAAAUAGGUCAAAUGGUAAUUUUGUUGAAAUUAUGUUGGAUUCAAGUUUUUAUAUGGAUUUGAGUGUCUUUUCAUGUUUAGACAAACUUUGGGAUCAAAUUUGGGUAUUGGGUCAAAAUUGGGAUUUUGGGGUGAAAAAUGAGUUUUUUUUUGUAGUAGAACUCCAGAAGCCUGUCACAACUCGCCAUGGCGAGCGGGAGGCGAGCAGGAGGUGCUUCCUGUGUGUUAACUCCCCAUGGCGAGUGAUUCACUCACAGGGCGAGCUGCACAGUGACAUCAUUCCCUGUUUCGCAAUCUUGCGUCUUUUUCACAUAUUUUUGUUUUGAAUUGGUCUUUGGUAUAAAUAUGAAAGUUUUAGAUAAUUGUGUUAGCUUUCCAGUGGCGUUGGUUUGACUUGAAAAUGAUUUUUGGUUUUUGAGUUAUGAUGAAAAUACUCCAAGGAGGUCUUAGUGAAAUUUUAUGAAAAUUCCGCAUAACUAUUUCUAAGUCAACCCAAAACUUAUGGAUUGUUUCCAAACUUCAAAACUUGUGUACUAUGAGUUAAAUUAAUGUGUUUAAGAGUAUUUAAGCUACGUUGUGGUGAAUUUAACUUGGUUUUGUUUUGAAAGUGAAUUGGUUUUACAUUAUGAGUAAAGCGAUACGAACUUUGCAAAACUUUGAAUUUAAGUGAGUUGGCCUAUGGGACCUUGAUGUAUACACUAUUGCACUCAUAUGUGAUUGGUGUAUAUACUUAGUUGAGGUUUCCAAAUGUGUUUACCUUGUUUUGUCGGAUAACUUGAAAAUUGGUAAAAUGAUACGAACUUGUCGUAACCUGUGAUUUUGAUGAUUUUGUCGUAGUAGGCCGGUGAAACGCACAUGUAUAUUCAACUACACUCAUAUGUGAUCUAAGUGUAUACAUAGUCGAGGCCCUAGAGUUUAUUUACUUGGUGUUAGUUCAUUUGUCUCAAUUAUUUUAAAGUUGUAAAAUGAGAGUUGAACUUUGUCAAAAAUGGUUCUUUAAAGCCAAUUACCUUAUAAAUCUUUUGUAGAUAACUUUAUAUGACUAAAUGAAGAUAUGUGAAUGAAUUUUUAAUUGUUGAAUAUGAUAUUAUCAUAAGGUGUUGCAUUUUCUCUUUACUUGGAAUAUGAUAAGUAUUUGGAAUGGUGGAACUAUACUAUAUGGUUGAUGUUGAUUAAUAUUUAUAUAUCAAUUGAUGUUGAUGAUUACUGAUAAUUAUGAUGAAAAUGUGAUGAUGACUCUUAAUUGGAUUAUGACUUUAUUGUUGUGUGGACGUAAAUAUUUGAUAAUGCAAUUGUUGUUGAUGUUAUCCUUUAUAUUGUUGUUGAAUAUUUAUGAGGUGAUUUUGCAUUGUCAAGUCUUUCCUUGUAUGUCCAUGCAUCAUAGUCAUGUUGAGUCUUGAUGUUGUAAAGGAGGGUUACUCUUUUACUUUGGUGAUAAUGUAAGACGGGUGUGAAAUUUUACAUAUGAUGUUUUUGUUGCAUCAUGUGUGACGACCUUGAGGUGAUUUGGUACCACAUGCAUAUAUGUGUCGGGAUUAGGCACAUAUCAUAUUGGCGUGAGUCUUAAUUGAUGUAUUUGAAUGAUGAUUGAUGAUGAUAAGUGUGUUUGAUGAAUACAUACUUGUGAUAUUUAGAAUUGUUGCAUGAAUGUGUAUAUGGAAGUUAAUUGCUCAUGAUUAAUUAAUUGAUACUUGAUUUGAUUCAUUUAUGUCUAACUAUUUAUGUGGAUUAUGAUUGUUGUAAAGCUUACCCCUAGUGGUUUUGACCACCUACCUGUCUAUAUGGAUGGGUAGACGAAGUGCAAGAUUAGUCGCUUUGGUGAGUUGCUUGGUGAUUGCUUAGAUAGAGGGAGUUAUCUCCGUUAUCGUUUCCUUAGAGUCUUAGGAUAGGCUCUGAUCUAGGAUGUAUGUCUUAUGAUUAUUCUAGAUUGUUUAUUUUGGAUUUAUUUGUGUUGUGGAGAUUUACCCAAUUGUCGGAAUUUGAAGAAUUUUUAUGUUGAUGUAUUUUGACCUCAUGGCAUGUAUACUUUUGAAGUGUAUGGUUUAUAUCCGCUGCAACGGUAUAGAAUUUUUAUAUAUGCUUGUUAUUUGAACAUUGUUGAUGAUGUGGCGUCUAUUUCUUGGAUAUUUAUAUUAUUCGCGUGUUUUAUUGCUUUAAUAGAAAUAGGGCGCUACAAAAAACAUGCUAAAAAUAACGUAAGAUGUCCUGUCAUCAUACAACGAUUGAGAAAAAGAUAAAGAUUGUCUAAUACCCAAGACUUCUUACAUAACUAUUUCAUCAAAGCAGAAUAGUUCAAAAACUGGAAGGUGUGGGUUUUCAUGACCUAGGAAUACAGGUAGCUCAAGUGAUGACAACAUAAUUUAUGGGAAAUAUGAGAAUCAUCAAGUCUGUGGUAAUGUCAAAUGGAUUCUCAAUCAGAAAAGAAUGCAGAACCUUUAUCCCAGACUUUCCCUCGAUCAUCCAAGAACCAAAUACCAAAGAUCUAGCAGACCUAGUGUCACAAGCUUCUGAAGAUCUAAUCUGACAUGGACCAUGCUCCUAGGGCAUGGACCAUGCACCUAGGGUAGGGUGCGUUUCACAGUCACAUGCGCCUAGGGCAUGGAGUGUGCUCCCUGAGAACUAAAAAAGUGUGGGGCAAAAUUGAUUUUUUUUCGACUUUUGUGUUGUUAUUUUAUGUUGUGAUUUUCUCAGAUUGGAGUGGAGGUAGGAUGUGAGAGUUCAACAGAUCACCAUUUGUAUGACUGAACAGACUAUUCAGAAAAUCUGAAUCAGUGUUUUGAUAAAUGGUUUAGCUAGAGGGUAAUGAUAUAGGUGGCGAAGGAAUAAUGAUGGAUGGUACUGAAGAAAUGUUAACAUAUUAUGUAAGCUCAAGAUCAAUACCUUUUGUAUUAUGAGAUUCUUCUGCUUUGCCUGGUGAGGUUGGCUCAACGGUAGCUGUUGUGAGGUUGGCUCAACGGUAGCUGCUUCUGUGACUAGCAUGCUGACUUCUUCUGCUUGCUUCUGUUGCUUCUCUUGGUUCUCACACUCAUCUACAUCGAUGAAUAUUAGAUGACACAAAUCUUCCUUAGCAUGUACAUUCUUCUUCCUUUCUGGUGAGGGAAUGAGUGAGUGAAUAGUACCAGAGUUCCUUGUGAGCUUGGAAAAAUCCGUUUUGUAGACAGAUCACAAAGUCACAUACUCUUAAUUUGUCUCUGAGUCGGUUUUGGAUUGCCUCGUCUUUUUGGGUGCUUGAGAAACUUUCUCAUCACCUUUCCUCUUAACCUCGACUUUCUUUAACUUCUUUGUUGGAGGAGAUGUUGUGACUUUGGAUGAUUUCCUCUUAUUCUUCUUGUUGUCUGCAGUUUCUGAGUCACCAGGAGUUUAAUCCGGAAAGAACUAAUCCGCAACUAAUUACUAAUAUUUUUCAUUGAAAAAAAAUAAUUUUAAAUAAGACUGGUACCUUGGUCUGUUGUAAAUUUGUAAGAACUAAUUUGACAGACAAUGAUAUAACUCAAAGACUAAUUUAUUUGUAAGUGCAAUAAUUUUGUUACUAAUUUUUGACCGUAAAUAACACACAAGUUAGCAGAAGGACCAAGUUGUUCAAUAUAAUUCAAAAUGUGAUUGUUUUUGCCAUGGCAUCCCCCAGUUUUUCUAUAAUUACACAAGAUUCCCUUUGUCUCGAUGGUUAGGAAGUACAAUUUUCUUUUGGAUGUCUCGUGUCUGAGUCCUAAUUCCCCUCAUUUUUAUAUUUCUAUUAUAUUAUAUUUUAAAUUUUAUUAAAAAAAUGUUCUUGAGGGGGAAUCGAACACGCACCACUACACUGAAUUCUAGCAAAAAACUGACCCCUAGACCGGUUACUGAUCUGAAGAAUAUUAUGAAACAACUAAACAUAUAUUCCAUAAAUUUUGGCACCCCCAAGAUAAAAACUCAAGAUCCGCCAUUGCCUAACUCAAGGUCCUAAAUACGCCACUACCAUUAACUAUAAUUAAUAAGAGUGUUUUAGAAAAUGAAACAUAUUUUGAACAUAUUUCUUAUCAUUUCUUUAACAAUUAUGUAAAACUCAAAAGGAACCCUUAAUUUGAGACAGAGGAUAUAUAAUAAUCGAUGAAGUUUAAUAUCUGCAAAAAAGUGUUAUUAAGUGAAGUAAACUUAACAAGGGUGACACUUGUUUUCUUUUGGUAAGGUGUGGGAGCACUCUUGACUGAGUUUCUAUUUUUUUUUUUUAUAUUCUUUUGAAAGUUGUAGUGGUGUAAUUGGGUGGUUAGUUGAAGUAAUUUUCGUUUUGGUUCUUGCUUGAUCUAUUUUGCAUUGUGAAAUUUCAAUUCUUAGUUUGCUUUCUACAUUGACGGAGUUGCUAAGUUGCAAUCAAACUUUUGAGUGUGUAUUAAUUAUAACAGUAAGAGUGUUGCUAGCACUACUCUUAUAUAAAAUCAGAUGUAUUUUUAAAUUUAUUUAUUUAUUUUUUUUUUUUUAAUUUCUACGAAAGUGGUGCACUUUUCCAUGAAUAUGCUUUUAGUGCAACUCCUUACCAAUGUAGUCAAACAAUUUCUUAAAACUCAUUGUUAUUAGUCAUUUCGAAACAAUGUAUUCACCAAGACAAAGGAGUGGGUGGAAGGAUAAUGGGUGCAUGCACAAUCAAGAAAAAGUUAGGUGAACAUUACAAUCAAAAUAUAUAGCAUAGAGCAUCAAAAUUUAUCGUAUGAAACAAUGUUUUUCUAAAAUAUGAAUGUGAACAAAUAACCCUUCAACUCAUAAGAUGAUCUUUAAUAUAUAGAAUUAGAAAGUUAGAGUAUCAGUACACCGAAAUUUAUAUAUUCAAAAGUGAGGCGUAGUUGGUUUUCCUCUUUAUGUAGUAUAGUUCGGUUUUUCCAUUUUAUUAUGGUACUUAUUCCUAUCAAAUUGAUAAAUCAGCUUUAUCUUAUAAUUGAUUUAACUAAUGAUGACUUGAACAUCAAUAUUAUAUAUUCGGAUAUACGAGUACUUCAUCGUGCUCUUAAUUUAGAGAUGUUUUGAGUUUGUUUACAAAUUGAAUCUUUGAAUUUUAGACAUAGAACUUGUACUCUUUUAGAUAUAAUAUACCGAUUUGAAUGGAUAAAUACCGUAAUUCCAAACAUAUAUUUUUUUUUCACACACAUACCUCAUCCAUUACGAAACGCAGGAACUAAAGCUAUAUAAUAUAGUGAAGCUAAUUUAAUAAAAAAUAUAUAUAUUUGGUGAUGCUAAACUCAGUCUAACUUAAUGCCAGUUCAAAAGGAACACUGUGGUAUGGAGGAAUUCUUUGUUUUGCAUUUAUAAAUGGCAACUAUACCCUAUUAAUCAUCAUCAUAAAAAUAAUUUUUAUAAUGUAUGAGACCAAGUUUCACGUCUCUAUUAUUUUUCAUCAUUUUUUAGAAUUGUACGAUCUUGUACCAGAUCUUCGUUUAGUUAUGAUGAUAGCAACCACUCUCACUGAAAAAUUAUAUAAUAACAUUUUUUUGGCAUAUUUAAUUACUGAUCCUGUCGGUGUAUUAUUGUAAAAUUAGGCAAUUUGUCCAAUCAAUUCACACAUAAUUUCAAACCUGGCAACUAUAUAAAAACAAAAUCAUAGGUAAAUAAUGUAGAAAAUCACCAACAACCCUUGAAUUUUGUUACAAGAAAGGGCCAAGUCAUCACCUUAUCAAGAUUGUGAGUGGAUUCACAAAGAUCACGACUAGUAUAAAAGGAGGAAGUCACUCUUGUGUUUUCUGCACCAAACUCAUAAGUCACUAACAUGGCUUCCUCAAACUUCCUAGUGCUGCUUCUUUUUGCUCUAUUUGCCAUUCCUCAGGGUCUUGCCAAUUAUGAGAAGCCUCCGGUUUACCAACCACCGGUGUAUAAGCCACCAGUUGAGAAACCCCCGGUCUACAAACCCCCUGUAGAAAAGCCACCAGUAUAUAAGCCACCAGUAGAGAAGCCUCCAGUUUACAAACCACCGGUGUACAAGCCACCUGUGUACAAACCCCCAGUAGUGAAACCCCCAGUCUACAAACCUCCUGUUUACAAGCCACCGGUGUACAAGCCACCAGUUUACAAACCACCAGUAGAGAAGCCCCCAGUUUACAAGCCACCUGUAUACAAACCCCCAGUAGUGAAACCCCCAGUCUACAAACCUCCUGUUUACAAGCCACCAGUUGAGAAGCCUCCAGUUUACAAGCCACCAGUAGUGAAGCCACCUGUUUACAAGCCCCCAGUCUACAAGCCACCAGUAGUGAAGCCACCUGUAUACAAGCCUCCAGUCUACAAGCCACCCGUUUACAAGCCUCCAGUUGAGAAGCCUCCGGUCUACAAGCCACCUGUUUACAAGCCCCCAGUUGAGAAACCUCCAGUCUACAAGCCACCGGUUUACAAGCCUCCAGUCGAGAAGCCACCAGUUUACGGACCUCCUCACCACCCAUAGGACUCUCGGAUGCUUUUAAGUAAAUAAGUUAAAUAAGAGAUAUAUAAUGUUUCCAAAGCAAGGAUUAUAUAUUCUUGGAAUCUUCAUUUUAGUCUUUUGUUUACAAAUCCUAUUACCAAGAUAAGAAUGUGAAAGAAAAUGGUGCAUUUGUACUCCAAGUUAUGAAUAAGAACGUUGUGAUUUAGCACUUUUUAAUUUGUGUUGGUUGACUAAAUUGGACAUAGUAUAUAUAUACUCUACUUAAUACUCUGUCAUAUCAGUAAGGUGCAUGAAAGUUCAAUUUUCUGUAGUAGACAUAACGAAUAAUUAAUUUAUGUUUGAAUCUAGAAUUUACUAAACUUCACGUACUUGGAAUUUCAUUGCAUUAUAGCUUGACUCAGUAGUAGCUUUAGUGAAAAAUGAUUUUGGUGCUUAAAAUUUUAAGAGUUGGAGUUUGGACAAAUUAUACACUCAUAUAAUUUAGUUAUCUUUUCAAAUUUACAAUUACAAUUUUCAAGGUUCUAUAUUUGUGUUGAUGCACCAAUUAAGAGAAUGAUCAAGAAAAUUAGGUUUUUAAUUGGUUUUUAUCGAUGAUUUCUGAAGAUAUAUUUCGGCAGAUGAACUAAUCCUUCAAUUUAAGAGAUUAAAUUGCCAUUUUACAAAUUUCAAUGAUUAUAUUAUUACCUAAUCUUAAAUAUAAUUUUUAGGGCUAAAACGAUGAUUCACUCAAUAUAUAUUGUGAUUUCUUAUUUUUUUUAUGAUAUAAAGAUAGCUGAAGUUGUGUGAUAUACAAAGUUAUAUUUCCUUUGGAAGAUAAGAGUCCCCCACCAUAUUGACAUGAAAGUGAACGUGGGAAAAUAUGUGCAAUUAAGGUUCCAAAUAUUAAACAAUAGCCACAAUAAUUGUCUAUAACUCAUAACAAAUAUAAGAACUUGAUAAGAAAAAUAAUAAAUAUAAGAACAUGAGCAGGCCAUAGUUUUUUAGCCCGAGAAGCUUCAUCUUCUUUUUAAGUCUAACAUUUUUUAAUCUUCAUUCAAAGAAGAUUGGUGAUUUUGGGAUAUUUUUAUAAGAUAGGUAAAUAAUGAAAUUUGUGUUGUACUCGAAGAAAUCUACCACACGAUUUGAAUGAAUAUAUUACUUUUAGUCAAAAUAAAUUAAAAUAAAGAAUGUAACAUUUCAAACUCACUCACAUAUAAAGAAUGAAUUUACAAUCUUUAAAACACAAAUAUUUAAUCCUUAAAUCUAACACCUCUCUUAGUUUUAGCGAAAUGAACUUUGUGUUGUACUCGAAGAAAUCUACCACACAAUUUGAAUGAAUAUAUUACUUUUAGUCAAAAUAAAUUAAAAUAAAGAAUGUAAAAUUUCAAACUCACAUAAAAAGAAUGAAUUUACAAUCUUUAAAACACAAAUAUUUAAUCCUUAAAACUAACACCUCUCUUACAUUUAUUUUGUUUACGUACCUUUAUUUUGUUUUCAAAUACUUAUAUUUAGUUGAAUUCCUUCAUUAUACUCUUUUUAAUGAAUUUUCUGAACAAAAUAAAAUUGUGUUACUCAGUCACUCAAAUUAGAGUGGAUAGAGCAAUGAAAAUAUUUAUUACUAUGUAGUUUAUAGUUGGAGUGAUCGGAUAGUCUAGUGGGAUCUUAGCCACUCUCGUUUGACUCACUUGGAGCAUGUCAAAAAUAUUUUUUUGAAAAUGAACGAUGGAGAUUUACUUUGCACUAGGUCCAGUGAAAAAGAUAUGGGAGAUAAUCCCAAUCUUAGCUUAUUGGGUAGGCCAGUGUUGAGAAUGGAUUCUCUCAAAUGUAAUUAUCUCACUAGUCUAAUUACCAACACAAUCAAAGAGAAAAAAUAGUGGGAUGUAAGUAAAAAAUCCAUAUUCUACUUACUCAAUCAUCUAUACAAGCUACUUUAAUUAUCUAGUCGAACGUUACGAGCGUUACAAGAGAAAUCAGAAUAUCGAUGAUCAAAAUCCUUCAAAGCAAAAGAUGUUGUUGUGUGCAAGUGUGAGUUAUAUGCCCCACAUCGGAUAAAAGAGUAAAGGUUGAACACCUUAUAAGUAAGAGGACCAUAAACCCAAAGCCUUAAGGUUUUGGGUAAGAGUGUGGUGUCUCCCUUGCUUGUCUGGUUGUUCUAGCCUCGAUGUGGACGCUCCCCCAAGCUCCCCUCGCUGACCCAACAGUGGUAUCAGAACCCCGGUUCGAUGAAGGGUACGACUGAGGCCGCCUGUCAGUUGUGCAGAAAGCAGCAACGACGGUACAAGCAACAAGUGGCUUCUUGUGCAGCAACGGCUAUACAUGCAAAGUAAAAAGCUUCCACGCGGUACAAGCAACAAGUGGCUUCUUGUGCAGCAAUGGCUAUACAUGCAAAGUAAAAAGCUUCCACUCUAGGGGAGCGACUCACGCUUGAGGGGGAGUGCUGUUGUGUGCAAGUGUCUGUUAUAUGUCUCAAAUCGGAUAAAAGAGUAAAGGUUGAACAUCUUAUAAGUUAGAGGACCCAUAAACCCAUAGCCUUAAUACUGUCCUUUUUGCAUAUUUAGCCCCCCCGAAACCAAUUUUAACCAAUUCAACGAUGACGUGGAUGUCACGUGUGUAAUGCUUUAAUUAUUUUAGUUUUAGAUAGAUACAGAGAGAGAGGUGUCAUAUGUCAAAAAAAAAAAAAGAUAGAAAAGAUUUCCUUCCUUGAAUCGUUGAGGUAACUACAAACUAAGACAAUGAUGUUAUUGGUUACUUGUUUCUAAUACCUUUGAAAAAGAUAGUUAGACCAAUGUAUUGGUCAUUAACUCUUUUCAAUGGUUACUACCCUAGUGUCUAAGGUGAGUCAUAACAACGUCAAAGUAAGUACAAUUAUUAUUAAUUUAUGUCUACACCUAAUCAAUAAUUGAAGGUUAAGAUAGGUCAAGCCAACAAAGUUAAGGUUAAGAUAAUCAUUUUCACCUAAAUUGAUUUAUGAACAUAUGUUAAUGAUGACAGUCCGUCAUAUCACAUUUUUAGAGUCUUUUCAAUUAAGUUUUUAUUCUAAUUUUAUUAAUUUAGUACUUAAUUUAGAGUCAUUUUAAAUAAAUUGUCAUUUUCUUAUUAUUGAGUCAACUAGUGUAUUAUUACUAUUAUUAUUGGUCAAUUAGUGGCUAGUAAAGAGAAUGAAACAAAAACAUGGUUUUGUGAUGGAUGUGAUUGGCCAAGAAAAAUGAUAACAAGUUGAACGAAAGAAAAGAAGACCACACAAUGUUGCAUUAGGGUGCAGGAAUCAAAACCAAUAUAAUUGGGCUUUCUUUCAUGGACGUUGAACCAAGAAAAAGAAAAGAAAAGAUAACUUGCUGCAUAAUGUUAAUUUGGAAAGAAAAAUAGGUUUGACAAGCUAUAAAAGGAGACCACGCACAGGAACAAAGCAGACGAUUGGGAAAGAAAGAGCAGCACGCGGUACGAGACAAAAGGAGGAGGAGAAAAGCUCAUGGAAUUUGGAAUAUGCAACAGUACUGAUUAAAUAGAACAAAGCCGGUAGACCAUAAUUCGAUCGGUUUAUUUCUUUUAGUAUGUUGUUUAUUCCUUUAAUAUGUCUAGUUAAUUCCAUUUGAUUGAGUCACGAUGAACCUAUUGUAAUAUAUGAAUCAGUAGUUAAAACUCUUUUUAUUAUCAAUAUUAUUCAGUCUUUAUUCAGAAUUAUCUGUGUUCAUUGCCUUUCAUAUGAUUGUUUGCAUUGUUUGCAUUGUUUGCAUGACUAUUAACCCUAACUUCUUACAAUCACAUAAAUUGAUCUUAGGAAUUGAAUGACUACUAACCCUAACUUUUAAUCCUGAAAUAAUAAUUCUGUUUAAUUCAACAUAGGAACCUAGAGAUAGGAAAUUGAGGAUUAUGACAUAUAACGUUCUAACAUCGCUUCCGCGGUUAUUCAACCAGUUUAAAAGAUUAAAAGGUUAUAACUUAGGAAAUGGUUUUGAGUCAAGAGAUUGAUCAAAACUAAUUAGUUAAUUUGUCGUAAAGAUUGAAUAAGUGUUGAGAGCAAAGAGAGAUAAACUAUUUCACAUAAAACAAUAGAGGAUUUACCGGCUGAUCAUCUGUUUUAAUCCAAUUAUCAAACCAUUUUAUUUUAUGUUAUUUACUUUUUAUUGCACACAAACGUACUGCCUCAUACACUUAUAAAAUUUACACAUCCUAGAUAUUAACUUUAUUGCUAGUUUGAGAUUAACACAGUCCUCGUGGAUACGAACUUAUUUUAUUACUUCGAUAGUUUUAGUACACUUGCUAAAAUAUUUAUGAGUUAACCAAUAAAGAGUAUCAAGAACAACUUUAACCGAAUAAAAUAGAAAAGUAAUUAAAUGAAAUUUAUAGAAUUAUUCAAAGUUACAUAAUCAAACAAUUACGAGGAAGUUCUUAUUUCAUGACCUAACAUAUAUAGUAUUAGCUACUCAUAGAUUUUCUAAACAUAUAUAAAUAGAUAUGAAGAAGAAAGCAUGAGAAAAGGAUCAGCAAGUGAGGAUUAAUUGGCUCCCUAAUGGCCGUGGUCACUCCAAUCCUUCCAAAAUUGUGUUUCUGCCUUCGUCUUCUCGCUAAAAAGUAUUUUCCACUAACUUAGGUUUCAAUAUUUAUAGGUGUGCAUUUCCUUAAGUUUUUGGGAAAUUGGCACACGAUGCGAUCCUAUUCCUCAUGAUGCGAGGAUAACAUAACUAAUCUUGUUGGCCUCACGUUUAUUGUCCCGAUGCAAAGCUCAUGAAGAUUGAUACGAUUCAAGGAAAUGUGAUUUGAUUUAACCAAGCAAAAACCAAGAUCAUAGGAUAACAAUGAUACGAUUCAAAGAAGUGUUAACUUGAUUCACAGUAAUACAAUUCAAAGAAUCAUGAAUCGUUUAAAAAUUUAUGGAAAAUUAGCAGAAACUUUUCAUGAUAAGAUUCAAAAAAGUUUGAAUUGAAUCAAUUGGUUAGAAAAACAUUUUGACCAAGAAAAAUGAAGUUUUCUUUAUACAAACAAAACACAAGACAACAAGGGAUCAUAUGAUUUAUGAGGCAAGAUUUCUAGGUAUGCUUUAACAUGAUAUUAGUCAAUAACAACUAAUAUCUAAACAUCAUCAAAUAAAAACUACCUAAUGAACAUCAUAAAAACACAAACCUAUAACUACACAACUUCAUCCAACUUAUUGGGUGUACCGCAUUAACUAGAUAAUGGUCAUAUCUAUACUAUAUAUAAAGAAAAUAACAUGUUUUUCAAGGUGAGAAAAACACGAGAGGGGGGGGGGGGGGGGGUUGAAUUGUGGUUUCUUUCUCUUCUCCUAAAACCGAAUUCACUAUUCAGAACUUGAUAGAGUUCAGCUUCUGAAGUAGUGUUCAGAGUCUAGUUGCAGCGGAUAAGAAAAGAGAGAGAGAGAGAGAGGCAAGACACAAAGCAACUAUACAGAUUCCUUCCACAAACCGGAACUAGUCAUGUCCCCCUUGCACCUCCAAGAAGAGUUCACUAAAAUCAAUAUUCGAUUACAAUUGCUCAGGGCUCAAAAUAGCAAGAGACUUCAAACUACUCAAGAACAACUACAAGAGAUUUCCUAUGCUCAAGAACAAAAUCAAGAGACUUCCUAUGCUCAAGCACAACUGCAAGAGACUUCAUACAAAUCAGAUAAGACUCUUAAGAUUCUAGAAUUUCUAAAAUAUGAAAGUUGAUAAGAAAUUCUAAGUGAACUUUGAUGUGAAACAUUUUUAGCAGAGUUUUGGCACUUGUAAAAUUGUUGUAAGUCUCUUAGAAAUCUUCAAGUCUUCACUCCUUUAUAUAGAGGUGUGAAAGAGACGUUGUUGAUUUCCAACACAUUAAAAGAGUCGUUAUUGAAGCUUGAUCAAAUUUCAAUUCCAUUCCAAGUAUAGAGGAAUACCAGCGUAGUCACAAUUGUUGUUCUUGUACUAUUGCAGACAGAAAACAGAGUAGUGGAGAAGGUGGUUGUACAAUUGUACUAUUGUCCUUUUCCAAUGUUCUUCAAGGGAUAAGCAUCCAAUGACUUCAAAUUCCUCUUAAUUAGUUGUUGCUCUAGACUUCUAUUCCUUCUGCAAUGAUAGGCAUGAUAAUAACAACUCUUGACAAAUAUUGAAGCUUCCAGUCUUUCAGCUUAUGAUCUUAAACUUCUAACGACGUCAGCUUCUGGUAGUCUCCAGCUUAUGAUAAAAGUGCUUCUGAUGAUGUCAUCUUCAGAACCUCUUUGUCUUCAAAACCUCUUUUCCUUCAGAUGGUUCCUUGCAACUCAAGCUUCCUUUUUUUAAAUUCCAUUGCUCUCAUUUGUUCUUCUAGAACCCAUGCUUCAUUUAAAGACACUCAAAUUUUUGUAUAUGGUCCUGCACACUUGAACAAAUAUUAUCAUAUCCAAUUGAAUUUUUUUAAUACCUUGUUAUCAUCAAAACUUAAAGGGUAAUGUUAAACACAUUUUGUUCCAACAUUUUUGACUCUUUUAGAAUGACUUUUUCUCUUUCCAAAAUUACCAUCAACUUUCAAUACAAAUAACACAUACAACAAGAAUUGUGUUAUUUGAACAUCCAUAUAUGCGACAACUUUUGUGACAACCAAAAUUUUACAAAGAAAAUGAAGUAGUGGCACAAAAACCAAAGCAAUAGAGAGAGAAAGUAAAAAGAUAAUGUGAGUAUGAGAGAGAAAGUUGUCACAAAAGUUGUAAAAAAUAGUUGUUCAAAUAUCAUUUCUCCAUACAACAAAUAGAUGAGAGUAAAUUCAAACAUUAAAAUAAAAUUGUAAUACACACGAUAUGAGUAUAUAUGUCCAGUUUUUUCCUUUAUCAUUUAAAAAAUGUAACAAACAAGAUGAGAAUAUCAGAGAGAUGAGAGAUAGUGACGUGAGACAAGAAAGACCUCUCCGUGGCCCGCCUUUGCUUGAACGGUGGUAACCGCACCAGAAUUUAUCUCCAUUUGAGAGAUACACUAGGGGGUAGGUAUGCAGCCUGGGUGGUAGAAAAUGGGGGGGGGGGGGGGGGGGGUAUGGGUGAUUGGUCUGUAGUUAGGUCACGAAAGAGGAAAGCGACGCAAUCGGAAGAUCGAGGAAGGGACAAGUCAAGGGUUUCAGAGCGACGCGGAGGCACGGUAAGGGUUAGAGGGAUCGCACAUAAUGAUUACGGGUUUGAUGGCAGAGAGGCGCGACAAUCAGCAAGGGCUCUUCAUGAUCAGCAAGGUUUGGGUCGUUAUCAGUUUGGAAACAACGAUUUGGCUUUCGACAGAUGCGGGUCUGAUGCUAUCAUGGGAAAAGGCUUCUUCGACGACAAACAUAACAAUGGUAGUAAAAUUACUUUCUAUUUUGCAAACAUUCCUGAUUAUAUGCCGUUGUUUCGUCUCCGUCAAUACUUUGAAGUGUGUGGUAUUUUGUCUGAUGUCUAUGUUGCCAGACAACUAAAUUCACGUGGUCAGGUCUAUGGCUUCGUUAGAUUUUUGAAUGUGAGGAACAAGGACAAAUUAGCACAAGAUUUGAAUAAUGUAUGGAUUGGUGACUUUAAGGUCUGGGCGCGUGAAGCAAAAUUUGAUAGGUUUGCACAAUAUGAUGAUGAUCAUAGGGUGUCUAUGCAUGGUGAUAGAAGGGAUGAGAAUGGAGGGGAGAGGAGGCCGGUGGUGAGAACUAAUGGUGAUGGAGUAAAAAAUAUGAGGAUGUGUAAUUUUAAAAAAAUAGGAGGGAUAAUAAAAAUAGUUGUUGGUCUCAUUUUAAAAAAAAAUAAAAAAAUUGUUUAUAUAUUUUUGUUAUAUUAUCGGUGUCAAUGAAAUGGAUAAUCAUGGUUAAUUUGAUUUGUUAUAAUUUGAAAGCAACACACAUUUAUAUCUUUAAUUUUAAUCAAAAUCAAAAUGUUAUAAAAAAUACUAUUGCUAAUUUUCAAAUGUUAACACAAUAAAAAGAGCAGAAAGACGGAGUGCCCGUCUUUUCACUAGUUAUAAUAAAAGAAAUUUUAUUUGAUGUAUUGAUAAUGAUACUGAAACUUUUUACACAUACAUCCAAACAUUAUUCAUGACAUCACUUUUAUACAAGUUCUAAAAUAUCGCUGUAACAAAAAGGUUAAAAAACAACUCAUGAAAUAUGUACAUGAUUUAAUUGAAUAUAUGUGUAAAAGAAAUUAUAUAUCAACAUCUAUAAAUUAAAUUUAUUAUUGAAAUGAAAUACUAGUAAAAAUGAUGGCCAGCAUUUAUGAAAAUAAAGGUCUAACUGAUCAUGGGCCAAUUUAAAUCAAAAGUAGAUUUGUGCCCUCUAAAGGGUACUAGAAUAUAAAAGAUGGACGGCAAACAAGGGACACAAAGAAUAGAGAUGCUCAAUUUAAAACACAACUUCGAUUUUUUUUUUAUUUACUAAAAAAUAACUUAGAUUGUUUAGAGAAGAUAGGAAUUCAAUUAGUCUGACAACAUAUUUUGGAAGUACAAUUAGUUUCACAAUUAACUAUUUUGAUAAUCCUCCUUAUUAAAAAAAAAUUAAUAUUCCAUUUCGUCAAAUAAAACAAAAAGUUAGGGAGUGAUGAGAGAUCUUAGUCAAUAUUGUUUUGCACCAUAAUAUUUUUGAGAGAUUGAUUUGGCAUUUACAUGCUUCCAACAAAUACAAUGUAACAAGUGCUUAUAAUUAUAUGAUAUCGUCUCUUAAUAUUGUGACAGCUGAUCACUUAAACACAAUUUGGAACAACGAGGUCCCUCUGAAAGUUAGUCAUUUUACAUGGAGUUUGCUCUGUAGCCGAUUACCAACAACAAAUAAUUUUAUCAGAAGGCACAUUCUUAAUCAUAAUGUUCAACUUUGUGUAGGCUUUUGUGGUAUAAUGUAAGAUAUAGACGAUCUAUUUCUCUCUUGUGAUUUUUUUGAAAUUUUUUAGAUUGGUAUCUAUAAUUGGCUCGGCUUUACUAUGGUACAUCCAGAACAUCCGAAUAACUUUUCAACUCAUAUGGUUAACUUGUGUUUGGGUGAUUUGAUGGGAAAGAAAUGCUUGAAGUUUUCGCAAUCAAGAAGAAUCGUUACAACAUCUUCUUGACAAAAUUAAGCUUCAAUCCUAUUAGUGGUUGAAAGCGAAUAGAAUUUUCGCUCAAUUUUAAUAAAGUGGAUACUAUAUGAGAUUUUCGCUCAAUUUUUUAUGAGUAUGGACUGCACUUGGCGUUAGUCAUUGAACUCAUUUUACGAGACUCAAGUUCCAACUUAAGCCAAAAACUGAAACCAAACAAAUGAAGUAAAAAACUCAAGUUCCAAACUAAUGCGUGAUUUUAGUCAAAACAAUGUUUAUUUUUUGACAGUAGUUAGUUUUGGAUUACAGCUAUAUCCCUACACCCCACAAACUAUACCCCUCUCACCAAUAGACAAAACAAAAGAGUAGGUGGAAGGGUACAUAAUUAAGAAAAAGUUAUGUGAAAAACAAUAUUUUCUAUAGCCAAAACCAAAAGAUAUAUAUUGCAUUAUUGCAUAUAUACCAAUAAAAGAAGUACUGUGAAAUACAAGAUAAUGGCAUUAGAUUAGAAAUGGCCAAUUUGAUCUGUCUAUUUUUAAUCAUAUUAUUUAGAUUUGUUCAAUCUUUUACCAAAUCUUAUUUAGUUAUGCAAAAAGCAACACCUCUCGUUGAAAGAUAAUAAUAACGAUUUUUGGCAUAUGUUACUAAUAUUGAUUGAAAAAUGUUACCAAAUGAUGCAACUUCCCAACUCCAAUCCACUCAUAAUUUCAAACUUCGCUACCAUAUGAAAACAAAAUCACAGGUAGAAAUGUGUUGGAAAUCCUCAACAACUAUUGACUUUUGGUACAAAAGAGUGCCAAGUCAUUACUAAUUCAAGAUUGAGACAUGCAGCUGUGAGUGGAUUCACUAAGAUCACGACUAGUAUAAAAGGAGCUGGUCACACUUGUAUUUUAUGCACCAAAUUAUAAGUCACUAACAUGGCUUCCUCAAACUUUCUAAUGAUGCUCCUCUUUGCUCUCUUUGUCAUCCCUAAGGGGUUUGCCAACUACGAGAAACCUCCAGAGUAUCAUCCACCAGUUGAAAAUCCCCCAUUUUAUAAACCACCGGUAGAGAAACCACCUGUGUAUAAACCACCAAUAGAGCAACCUCCAAUUUAUAAGCCACCUGUAGAAAAUCCUCCAAUUUAUAAACCACCAGUAGAGAAACCACCCGUGUAUAAACCACCGUUUGAGAAACCUCCAAUCUACCAUCCACCAGUAGAGAUACCACCAGUGUACAACCCACCAGUUGAACAUCCUCCAAUUUACAAGCCUCCUGUAUACAAACCACCAGUAGAGCAACCUCCCGUCUAUAAGCCACCAGUAGAGAAGCCUCCAAUUUACAAGCCACCAGUAGAGAAACCUCCUGUUUACCAACCUCCUGUUUACAAGCCCCCAGUUGAGAAACCUCCAGUGUACAAGCCACCUGUAGAAAAGCCACCAGUGUACAAGCCACCUGUAGAAAAGCCACCAGUGUACAAGCCACCUGUAGAAAAGCCUCCUAUAUACAAACCACCAGUAGAGAAACCACCAGUGUACAAACCACCCGUUGAGAAACCCCCGGUUUAUAAGCCACCAGUAGAGAAACCACCUGUGUACAAGCCACCAGUUGAGAAGCCCCCAAUUUACAAGCCACCAGUAGAGAAACCACCUGUAUACAAGCCACCAGUUGAGAAGCCUCCAGCUUACAAGCCACCAGUUGAGAAGCCACCUGUAGAGAAACCACCAGUGUACAAGCCACCGGUUGAGAAGCCCCCAAUUUACAAACCACCAGUUGAGAAGCCUCCAGUGUACAAGCCACCGGUUGAGAAACCACCUGUCUACAAGCCACCUGUAGAAAAUCCACCUGUUUACAAGCCACCAUUUGAGAAACCUCCAAUUUAUAAACCGCCAAUAGAGUAUCCACCCGUGUACAAGCCCCCUUUUGAGAAACCCCCCAUCUACAAGCCACCUGUAGAGAAACCUCCUUUUUACAAGCCUCCGUUUGAGAAUCCACCAUUUUAUAUACCUCCAGUUGAGGAGCCUCCUGUUUACAAGCCUCCAUUCGAGAAGCCACCAAUUUACACUCCUCCAUUCUAGAGCCCACCUUACCACCCAAAGUUCCCUCGGGCAGGCGAUGGUACUCGUUAAUAGAACAUGCUAUGAAGAAAAUAUGUUAAAUAAGAGAUAUAUAGAGUUUUUUAUUUAAUCAAGGAAUAUAUAUAUUCAUGUAAUCUUCAUUUCAAUACUUUGUUUACAAUACUCUUGCUAUGAUAAGAAUAUGAGUGAAAAACAGAGAAAGAAAAUAGUGUGCUUUUCUAUUCGAAAUUAUGAAUAAGAUUUCUAUGAUUUAGAUGUUGUGUUGGUUGACUAAAUCGUGAUACAUCGACAGAGGCAGAGCCCCUCAUGCGCCAAGGUGGGUCAUGGCCCACCCCCAAAUUUUGUUUCUUAUUAUAUAUAUAUUAUGUUUUGUAAAUUUUUGAUGUUUUUGUAGCAUGUUGUAGUGGUUAAGAGCCUUUUUGCCAAGUCGUAUGUGCUAGGUUCAACUCUUGCCAAAACCAUUUUUAUUUAUUCUUUUAUUUUCUUUUGUAUAAAAAAAAAACAUAAUUCAUAAUUGUUAAAAUAAUCCUUUUUUUUGUUACUUAAUCCUUUCUUUCUUUAAUAAAACAUAACUCCUUUAUUCGAUUUAAAAUAAUCUUUCCUUUCCUUACUCUUAUUUUUGGAUACAAUUGUCUCUUUACUCUUUUAUUUUAAUUUUUUUUUUAUACAAAGGGGACUUCAACUCUUUUUUGUCAAAAAACAUUCUCUUUUAAAACAUAUAACAUAUUUUUUAUACUUAGUCGUUUGAUUCAAUUCGAUUUUAUACCUAUACAUCUGUUUAUUGAAGUCGAGUCAUUUAAUUCAGUCGUUAGGUUCAAUGGCCUAGUUGUUCGAUCAAUUAUCUUGAACUUUAUCAAGGUUGAUAAACAGUUCAUAUUUUAAAAUACCGGUUUAAAUUAUAUUCAACAAAUAACAAAUUUAUAGUCAUUGGAACCAACCAAUAAUAAAAUGUACUUGUAAGAAAAUAAAGCCUCAUCACUAUUUAUGGCCCACCCUAUACUUUUUUCCUAGCUCCGCCACUUUACAUCUUCGUAUUCUUUAGGAAGUUUCAACCUUGUUGACUAUGACAACAGUGACGACUAUAACGAGACUCGCUAUUGACUAUGACAACAGUGACGACUAUAACGAGACUCCCUACUUUUUGGUUUGCUUCAACAGGUUCUCAACAUAAAUAACUAACCAAGUUAAUUUGCCUGUGAAAUGUGAUAUUAGUAAGGUGCAUGAAGGUUAAGUUCUUUAGCAAAGCUUAGUAUCUUGAAUUAAAGAAUAUCGUUAAUUAAACUAAAUAUUCAUAUUAGGUAUCACAAUUUUCAAGACUUUAUAUGUACGUGUUGAUCCAUUAAUUAAGAGAAAUUAGACUUUAGACCCGUGCGUCGCACGGGUCAUUUCGACUAAUAUAUAAUAAUAAGUAAUGGUAAAAAAAAUUCUAAAAUAAAUAAAAGAUGAAGAGUAUUAUACAUUUUACUUACUCAAGUUCAAAAAAUAAAGUAGGAGAUGACAUGAAAUCGUUUAGUUGAAACAAACGAAUAUUAAAAAAUAAAAAUUAGACAACGACAGGGAUCUAAAAUUCUAUUUCUAAUCCUUCACAUAUCAAAAUUACAAUUGGUUCUCUUCAUUGUAAUCAUCUAAACUUAAUUAAAAAAUUUACAAGUGCAAAUAGAAUCGACAUUAUACAAGUCACUACUUGAUUCCAAAAACCUAUGUUUCAUGAAAACCACUCAUACCUAAAUAACAAUAAUAAACCUUCAAAACAAAAAUCAACUAUUCUCAAAGGACCCAAAAGAAAGAUUUUUAGCCUUCUAAAUCACAAUUUCUCUUGUUGUAUUGUUUUUGUGUCAAAAGCACCAUAAGUUGAAUAGUAGGCUCAGACACAUGACUUUCCUCAUAAGACAAAAUCACCAGUUUUUUAUAGGUUGAAAAAAUAAAUCAAAUAUCCUUAACUUUCAAUAACGCUUAGAAACAACUGAAACUUUUGCAUUAUCUCAAUCCACAAACAAAAUUGAAGACCUUUAUAUUUGCUUUAGGCACCUUAAGGAAUUCUAUGUAAAUUGUUUUCCUGCAAUGAAAUGCUAAACACAAUGAGCAAAGAAGAAGAAUUAACAACAAUAUUUGGAUUGUUUUAUUUAGCUUACAAUUCUUUAAACUAAUCAANAACACAAUGAGCAAAGAAGAAGAAUUAACAACAAUAUUUGGAUUGUUUUAUUUAGCUUACAAUUCUUUAAACUAAUCAACAAAAAAUUAAAUUUGCAUUAUAUCCUCCACAAUAUCAAGAAUUUUUCAAAGGGAUCAUUCUAUUUGUAUGGCUAUGAUGAGAACUCAUGUGUGUCCAUGAAGACCAGCUCUACGGAUAACCAUGUUCAUAUUAACUAUUUUAGGAGUGAAAAUAGGAUUGGAUUGGAUUUAGUAGUGAGCUGUUGUUUUUGAUUUCAGAAGCAUUUGAAAAUAACAUUUUGAUUAAAUGGAAAUAAUAGGAAGAAUUUGUUAAUAAAAGUGAUUUUUUUUUUUUUUUUUAUGUUGAUCUUUUUAUUGUUGUGUUAGAAACAAAAUAGGACGAAAUUGUAUUUUUUUUUUUAUGUUUAUCUUUUUAUUGUUGUGUUGGAAACAAAAUAGGAGGAAAUUGUUAUAGGAAUAGGAGGAACGAUUUUUAAAGUUUAUCUCUUAAUUAAACAGGUUUAAUUGAACACGGGGGUAAUAACGUAAAAGUCAUCAUAAAAUCUAGGUUAAAAUUAGGUUAAAAAUUGGCUUACGGGUUAACUUUUAUAUAUAAAGAAGUCAAGAGAAUCUAGAUCUGUGAAGCCCCGAUACUUCAAAAUGGAUGAUGUAUCGUAUCCGCUGCGUAUUCUGUAUCGAUACCUGCCCGAUACUUCUCAAAUUUAUGAGUUUUAUUUGAUUCUUCGAAUUCGAAUUUUGAGAAUUUUAGGGUUUGAAGGUUGGUGAUGGAGGUGAAUCUGAGUUUAUAUUAAGAAUUGAUGAAGAAUUUAAGGAGAGUGCAGUGAUGGAUAGGUAACUGAGUAUGAAUUGGUAUGCAGUUUGGAAAAACAAAACAAGAGGCAGUAGCAGCACCCCCACCCUUCCUCUACUUCUUCGACAAUAUGAGUGUUAGAUUCAUUUUCCUAGGUGUGAUUUUGAGGCAGAUGAAUAUGUGUGAGAGAUUGUAGAGGAAGAUCUCAGAUAUAGCUUUUAGGGAUGAACAUGAAUGAAUGAAUUUGUAGAUGAAGAUGAAUGUUGUUUGAACAUUUAAUUAAGAAAUUUUUAAUUGUUUUUUGUUUUAAUAUUUGAAAUUAUUAAAUUGUAUUUUGAAAUUCAAAAAACCUGUUUUAAUGACAUGUAAAUGACAUUUUCCAAAUUGGCAAUGCCACAUAGGCAAAAUUUUACCACCUGUGCAUUUUUGGAUGUGAAAAUAGGGGGUAAGACUAAAACUGCAACAAAAAUGAUAAUUGAAAAACAAUUUUAAUCUGUUUUAAAAGGGCAGGACCAAUUUCCUGAGUAGGCCACAACACGAGGACCAAAAGUGUAAUUAAGCCUUAUAUUUAUGUUGAUGUGCUACAAGCUUAUGACUGGUUUCUUUUGUUUGAUAAUAUAUUUGCAUAUUAAAUAAAAUGGUUAUAAUUAUAUUCUACAUUUAAUUAUAUAAUUUUUUUAUUGACGUAUCCCAACCAUAUCGUAUCUUGAUUUUUGAAAUUUUUUCGUAUUGACGUAUCGGUGCAGUAUCGUAUCUCGUAUUCGGGCUUCAUAGAUCUAGACUAUUAAUUUUUUUGAUAAACAAGAUUAUUAUUAUUUUUUGACAAAAACAAAGUGAGAUUCAUUCAUUCAAAUUGAUAGAGUACAUCAGAUACAAACAUUGCUAAAAACGUAAAGGAUAAAUCUAUGAACAAACUCACAACACUAAAGUUCAUACAACAGCAAAAUGUCUACAAAUAAUAUGAUAAAAUCUAAGUCACCAAAAUAUUCAUGCUUCCGGGUAUGCAACGUUGGCGCCCAAAUCAUUGAUUGAAUUUGUAAUUGACUAAUGUCGAUCUUUCAACAUGAACUAAACGAACACCGCGUCAAGACGCGAAAUCAAACAUCACAUAAGACCACUAACAACACAAUGCCACAAUUAGAUGACGAAAUCACAAAAACUCAAAAGGGAAAACUUGAUAUAUGUGAAAACCAUUUGUUUAGAUCGAAAGAAAAGAGAAAAAACGAUGUAGAGGGGUGAUUUUAGGUCAAAAAUGACCUAAAACCAGUUCUUUUUAAUAAACGAAGGAGAAAGAAUGUUUAGAGAGAAGUUGGAGUUUUUUUUUACUUAAAAAAUUAGGAUAAGCAAAAUUAUUAUAGAGGGAUAAAGGGCUCCCCAACCCAUAUACAAAAUGAUGGUUGCAAUGCCAUGUAGAAAAUAAAAAGAUAACAUUGCCUUUCUUUUUACAAUUAAACUAGUUACAAACCCGUGCGUUGCACGGGUUUAAUAACGUAUUUUAUAAAAAAAAAAUCUUUUAAAAGAAAAAUGAGCAAAUUAAUGAAUAUUGCACAAACAUUAUAAAUCUUUAUCAAAAUAUUUAUGAAAGCUUUAUCAAGUCUUUAAUACACAUUAAUAUUUGUGAUGAUUGAUAAAAGAAUUAAAAAGAGUAAAGGGUAUAGAAAUAAAUUUAUUAAAGAAUUAACAAUUUGUUUAAACUUAUUUUUGUUACAAUUUAGACCAAAAAAAAUAUUGGACUUCAUUGAGUUUCUCUAUAAUUUUUUUAUCAGGCUUGAAGUUAUGACUCUGAGUUUGAAAACCGCAAAAUUCACAAAAAUUAUUGAAGAAACACUAUAAACAAAUAAACGGCAUCGUCAAAAAUGAAAUCAUAUUUGGCUAUAGUGAUCAAGCAAACAAAAAAAAAGAAGCAUAUUAAAUACCUAUAAUCAAUGGAUUCUAAUUGCAUAGAGGCGACACUUAUACUUUCUCUAUGUUUGUUCAUCAAUGAGAGUGAUUAUUUUGCGCUUUCCUUUCAGAAUUGUUCUUGACACCUAGUUUGGGAAAUGCUAAACAGGGAAAUAACUGUAAUAUUAAUCUAAUGCAUAUUAACAUGGAUAAGAUGUAUGCGAAUAUAGUUAUAUAUAACUUAUGAAAUGAAGGUAACAUAACUGAUUUUAAGCUAAAGAAAAUGUACCAUGACUUCUAAUUUAUCUUUCUAUUAUCUUCCUAUAAAGUCUAGAGAAAUGCAUGCAUGUGCAUUAUAUGUACCCCGUUGACCAAUUAACAUUUUUGAAACAAAUGAAAAUUAAGCAUCACUCCCGCAUGUGCAUCUAUAGCUAACACCAUUUGACAUUGAUGUCUUCGAACAUUUGGUGCAACUCUCAUAAUACCAUCCAAACUGGUUAGGAUUGAAUUUAGUUGUUUUUCCAAAUAGUGAUGGAGUAUGUAUCCUAACACAAAUUAUGCACGUGAAAUAAAGAAUAGUGCAAUAUGCAUUUUUAAUUUGUGCGUAAAAAAAUUCAAAGCAUGUUUGUGAAAAAAAAAAAAAAAAACAGACCUUGACUAAGUUUAUAGAUUCAUCAAUUGGCCUAACUUGAGACAGAUUGGAAAAAUCGUUCUACGAAGUACUUUUUAAACUUUACUUUUUAAUCUAUCUGAGCUUGAGAAGUGUUAAGUUCACGACAACAAUUCAAGAAACAUGGUCAAUAAACAAUCAAAUCAGAUUGUGAAAUAAUAAGUUACUCUAACACUGUAUUGUGAAAUCAUAAUGCAAACUUACUAAGUCUUAAACUUUUCAACAACCGGAUGAUGUAGGUUGAUGAGCAGCCUCGAACCUGACCAAUUGUUACAUCUAUUUGCGUUGUCAUUGACUACAAAAUAGAAGCAAAGAAUUCAAGGUAAAUAAAUGGUAAAUGAUAAAGCUACAAAGUAUUUUACCCAUAAUGUUACAUCAACUAUAUUCCCAAUGCUCUAAAUCUCUAUAUCGAGUUAUUACAUGAACUCGAUCACCCUAAAUCCGAGAAAGAAACCAAAAAAUAUAAAUAAAUCAAAAUGUAUACUAAUAAGUAACAUUGAUAAAUCAUAAAAGAAAUUACUACAAAUCUUAACUAACUUAUCUAACCUUUGCAUCACAAAUAAUGAGCUUCAUAUGUUGAUUCUCAUUACUACCAGUCACAAUUCAAGAAUCCAGUACUCCAAAUCCUAUUUUCCAAACGUCUAAAUCAUUUUUGAGAUACUUAAUGUAGUCAUAAUCCCUUGACAUUGAAAUUCAUAUAUAGAAAUACAAUAAUACAUCAUUUAAUUUUAUUCCCUUUGUUCAUUCUGAUAUCGAAAGAAGCUAACAUAUUUCUAUGUGAUCAAUUUUUGUAUCAUCAAAUUAACCUGAUCUUAAAUGUACAAAUUUCUAUCAUCAACUUUCUGGACCCCAAUGAUAUGAUCAAAACAAAUUUACACCAAUCAACUUUUUGCACGGCUCAAUGAUAUACGAAAGAAUAAAUAAAAUAUGAAAACUGUUACAGCUUUAGGAUUACUCACAAAAACUAAAAUAAUUGAAAUGCAUCAAUUAUUUUCAACUCCUGUACCAGAAGCUAAAAUAACAAUUGUGUCAAAACCUUACCAUCAGUUAAAAUUCAGUCAUCAUGACCUCUACUAUACUCCACAUAACAAAAGACGAUUUUUCUACAGCCAUGCAACAUAACAAAUUUUGGUACAUAAUCCAAUAACAAUUGGAAAAAAAAAAAAAAAACCCUUAAAAUGCAUAAUCAUGAAAAAAGGAAGAAAACCAUCUAUGAUGAAGCAAAAACUAAAACGGUGUCGAAAAAUGAAGCCCUUAAGCCAUAAAAAUCAGUCAACUCAAGUCAUGCAUGGUCUCAGAACCAUGAAAAAAGAUAGAAAAUGACCUUUUUUUUUUUUGUGGUGGCCGGGGUUUGAACUCCGGACCUUGCAUAUUUUAUGCAUUGUCCUACCAACUAAGCUAAGCUCACGAGGACGAAGAAAAUGACCUCUUAUGAAGAAGAAAGUGAAACAGUGUUCCCGACUGAACUUAGAUACCGUUUGGUCAAGGUUUUUUACAUUAUAAAAGUUACUUCAAAACAAAGUAAAAAUAAAGGCCUUUAUGAAAGAAACUAAAGUUAUUUGGUUUUUUUGUUUUGUUAGUUUUAAAGCUAUUUAAGUUUAAUGUUGUUUGGCAAAAUAUUGUACAAACUUUGAAUUUAUUAUUUUUUAUAUGGUGUCUGGGGUUCGAACUCCGGACUUGGCAUGUAUUUAUGCAUUGUUCCUAUCAACUGAGCUAAACUCAUGAGGACAAAACUUUGAAUUUAUUAUUAAUUAACAUAAUAAAUAAAUAAAAUGUUUAGAAUAAUUUAUGAAGGCUAAAAAUGUUAAAAAAAUAAAAGAUAUUUUUUUUACAAAUACGAUAUUUACUCAAUAACGUUUAUUUUGUGUAACAUGAAUACAAAUUAAUAUCAUCAUAUAAAUAACUUGUUAAAUAUUUGAAUAGGAGAAACAAUUUAAGGAGUCUGGAAUAAUAAUAUAAAUAAUAUCAAAAUAUUUGAUUUUUUCUAUUUCAAUUAUACUCUAUAACAAAUUUCGUUAUAAGAAUACCAUAUUUUUUGUGUCUUUCAAAAAGAUAAGAAUUUAUAUUAUAUGAUAUUAUAUUUGUUACAUUGUUGGUGUCAUGGAAACAGAUAUGUUUAAUUUUUUUGAACAUGAAAAUGAUAUGCAUAGUUUGUUACGAUAUAAAGGUGCAAUAUAUAUAUAUAUAUACACCUUUUUAGGCAUCUAUACCUUUUUUUGAAGAAAAGACAUCUACAAUUUUACUUUUAAUUAAAAUUUAAAUUUUAUAAAAAUAAUCAUACGCAUUAUGCAACGCUAAAAAAAAUUAUACACAUUAGCGUAACAAAAAAACAGACACACAUAAAGAAUUACUCUAAACGCUAAUGUGUAUGUGCGUAUAUAUUUGCGAGGUUGAAGAAAGAAAAUACAAAUAUUUGAUAUCAUUAAAUGACAGCGUGAAUAAAAAUAUUUGUGAAGUUGUGAUGAUUAAACGAUAUUGAAAUUAUAAGUGAUAAAAAGAUAAUAAAAUUCCUUUGAAAAAAAGGUAAUAAAAUUAAAUGGAACCUCCUUAAAAAAAAUUAAAUUGAACGCUUCAAAUUAAAUGGAAGAAAAAAAUAUAUUGAAGUAUAAUAUUAAAAAAUAAAAAAAAAGGUUCCCAACGUGAAUUGAAGAGAGAUGCUUGUGAAAUAAAUUGUCGAGAAGUAGUUUUUUGAAGAAGCAUUCAACAACUUUUGGUCAAAGUUCAUUGCAUUCAAUUUUAUGCAUUAAAAAAGGUACAUUUUUUAGAAAGUACUUAAUUGAUAUUGUAUUUGACCUAACUUCUCCUUAAAAAUAUAGGGAAGUUGAAAAAAAAAACCGGGUCAAACGGUAUCUUAAUUUCCCACAACGGCAGUGUAGAAACAACUGAAUUUGGGAGAAAAAAAUUGGAAAAUAGUUAAAAAUAAAAAAAAUUGAAAAAUAGUUAAAAAAAAUCGGUGAGGUAGCACCUAACCAAACAACACUAAAAAAAAUUAUAUGCAUCAGCGUAACAAAAAAACAGACAGACGGACAUAAAAUAUUACUCUAAACGUUAAUGUGUGUGUAUAUAUUCGCGAGGUUGAAGAAAGGAAAUAAAAAUAUUUGGUAUCAUUAAAUGACAGCGUGAAUAAAAAUAUUUGUGAGGUUGUGAUGAUUAAACAAUAUUGAAAUUAAAAUAAUUAAUAUUGUGUUUGACCCAACUUCUCCUUAAAAAUUUAGAGAAGUUGGAAAAAAGUCGGGUCAAGCGAUACCUUAAUCUCCCACAACGGUAAUGUAGAAGCCACUGAAUUUGGGAGAAAAAAUUGGAAAAUAGUUAAAACUAAAAAAUAAAAAAAUCGGUGAGGUAGCACCCAACCAAGCAACACCAAAAAAAAAUUAUAUGCAUUAUCGUAACAAAAAAAUAGACAAACAGACAUAUAAUAUUACUCGAAACAUUAAUGUGUGUGUAUAUUCGCGAGGUUGAAGAAAGGAAAUAAAAAUAUUUGAUAUCAUUAAAUGACAACGUGAAUAAAUAUAUCUGUGAGGUUGUGAUGAUUAAAUAAUAUUUAAAUUAAAAUAAUUGAUAUUGUGUUUGACCUAACUUCUCCUUAAAAAUGUAGAGAAUUUGGAAAAAAGCCGGGUCAAACGAUACCUUAGUCUCCCACAACGGCAAUGUAGAAGCAACUGAAUUUGGGAGAAAAAAUUGAAAAAUAGUUAAAAACAUAAAAAUUGGAAAAUAGUUAAAAGUUAUUAAAAAUUAGAAAAUAAUUUAAAAAAUUGGUGAGGGGCAAAAUGGGAAAUUUGGCAUAAAAAAGAUGAGGUGGCACCAAACCAAACCCACCAAUUAGAAAAUUACUUAAAUGCCCAUUCCAGGGACAAAAUGGGAAUUUCAUAUGGCAUCAAUUUUAAUAGAGUAUAUAGACCACUCACAUUACACAAAUGUUGAAAUAUAUGAUGCAUAUUACUUUUUAAAUUUUUGGUUUAUAGUUGCAUUUUUUUUAGGGUUAAUAGUGUUUUUCACCCUUGUAAUAUAUGUCAUUUUCGGUUUUCGACCCUAUAAAAUUUUUAGUUUUAUUUUAACCCUCGUAAAAUUUUUAUUUUCCGGAAAAGACCCUUAAUAGGCCAUUCAAAAACCAAAAUUUCUUGAAAAAAAUUCUGAAAAUGGCCUAUUAGGGGUCUUUUCCGGAAAAUAAAAAUUAUACGAGGGACCACCUGUUGAGAAACCACCUGUACACAAGCCACCAGUUGAGAAGCUACCUGUUUACAAGCCACCUGUAGAGAAACCUCCGGUGUACAAGCCACCUGUUGAGAAGCCCCCAGUUUACAAACCUCCAGUAGAGAAGCCUCUAGUGCACAAGCCACCAGUUGAUAAACCACCUGUACACAAGCCACCAGUUGAGAAGCUACCUGUUUACAAGCCACCUGUAGAGAAACCUCCGGUGUACAAGCCACCAGUUGAGAAGCCCCCAGUUCACAAACCUCCAGUAGAGAAGCCUCCAGUUCACAAACCUCAAGUGGAGAAGCCACCUGUAUACAAGCCACCAGUUGAGAAGUUUCCAAUUUACAAACCUCUAGUAGAGAAGCCUCCAGUGCACAAGCCACGAGUUGAGAAACCACCUGUACACAAGCCACCAGUUGAGAAGCUACCUUUUUACAAGCCACCUGCAAAGAAACCUCCGGUGUACAAGCCACCAGUUGAGAAG
rnacentral:lncRNA from 1 species